UCUGUGCCGCUGCGCGCAUGCAGGCCAUGGAGGCAGGUCAGCGCCUCUGCCUCUACCGCUAAGUUUGUCCUGGUACGGGUCCACAGUCAGACCUGGCCGCGCGCAGCAUGCAUCCCCAAUUCGAUUUCAGCCCAUCCUUCAGGCAGAGGUACGCGGUUGCCGGCCGUUAAUCACUUGCUGAUUUCCUCUUCUCCUUCUGUACUGGUAAUUAACCGGCCGGUCCAGACAGUCAGACCGAGUCACCGGCCCCGAGGUCACUCGUCUCGCUGUUGUCGGAUGACAAACAGUCGCGUACUAUACUGUAAGAAAGCAGUAGACCCAGUCAGACCUAGGGUUGAUUCCCCACUAAGAAACGCCCCCGCGCGCCGUCUCUCCGAUCCGAUCCGAUCCGGCGCACACACCAUGAGCGGCCAAGGCAGCAGCAAGCCCUACCAGCCCCGCCGCGGCCCGGAGCCGGAGCAGCACUUGUUGGAGCCCCAACAGCAGCUGCCGCAGGCGGCGCCCAACGCGGAGGCUGCAGGCGGCGGGGAUCCGGCGGCGGCGGCGCACGCGCAGCUCACCCUGUCGUACCAGGGCGAGCUCUUCGUCUUCGACUCCGUGUCCCCCGAUAAGGUAUACGUGCCUCAUCUCAUUCCUCUCUACUUAGGAAUGCGCGCGGCAGUUGUUCGAUUCCUUUGUCGUCGUGCGUGAGCGUAUAUAUGCUUUGUCAUGUAUGUGUGUGAGAUCUUGUGGAACCAUGCUGAUCUGAUGUGAUGCAAUAUGAUAUGCUCGUCUGAAAUUCCAUGACGUAUGCCUUUGGGUUUUAGAGGUUCCCUUUUCUUCUUUUUUUGGGUAUUAAUUUAAAUUGUUCAAUUUUUUAGGGUUUGUUAAUGCUAAAUCGCCUGAUUUUUUUUCCUCAUAGCCCGGUCGAUUGCCUGGCCGUCCAAUCCGUCCUACGCUAAGAUCCAUGGGCCUCAUGCGUGUGUUUUCGGUUUUGCCAAGUAUAGGUUGUUUGAGAAAAAUUUAGGAGUGAUUUGAUUUGAGUUUUUUAGGCCAAUUGCACAAAACUCUCCUCAUGUGUGUAAUUGACUUUUUUUGGGUCAGUUGCUCAUGCCUCGUGUUGAUGUACAAUUAAGAGUUUUUUUGGGGUCGGUUGCACAUCUUUAAUGUGCAAUUUGAUCAUUGUUGCUGAGUUGCGCAUUAAGAUUCUUGAUGCGUGGGUAAUUUGCACAUCACCUUUAUUGAUAUGCAAACAUUUUUGGGACUUGGUUGCACAUUAAGAUUCUUGAUGUGAAAUUGAGUUUUUUAAUUGUUGGUAAAUUUCACAUCACCUUUAUUCAUAUGCAAACUUUUUGGGGUUGAGUUGCACAUUAAGAUUAUUCAUUUCCAAUUGAGUUUUGUGUGGGUGAGUUUCACAUCAUAUCUAUUGAUGUGCAAUUUAAGUUUUAUAAACUGAGUUGCACAUUAAGAAUCUUGAGGUACAAUUGAGUUUUUUGACCUAGUUGCACAUAAUCUCUAUUGAUGUUUAAUUUCUUUUGGAACCGAUUUGCAAUUAAGAUUAUUGAUGUGCAAUUGAGUUUUUUUUUGUGGUUGAGUUGCACAUCACCUAUUUUGAUGUGUGAUUUAAUUUUUUCAUCGUGCAAUUAACUAUUUUUUGUUAGCUGCAUAACCUUUUUGAUGUGUAAUUUAGUUUUUUUUUGACAUUAAGACUCUUGAUAUGCAGUUGGGUUCUUUUCGGGCCAGUUAAACAUCGAUCUUUUCAAUUUAUUUUUUAUUUUUUAUUUUAUUCAUCUUUAUUUUGGUGCCUUACAAAUAAUAUUCAUUGAGAGAUUUUACACAUCCUUUUUUAGACCCGUGGUUAGAUUAUGUAUGUUCCAAUGUCGUGUGCAUGCGGGGUGCUCUUGACGUUUUUUAAGAUUAAGAUUAGACUGGAUUUUUGUUGCACUUUCUAUCACGAUUUUCUUGUUGCUGUUUUAGAUGAUGGUUGUCAAUUUUUGUGGGUUCUAAUUAUAUUUCAAAUGAUAGUUGCACAAAUAAUAUAGGUGCAACUCAUUUGUCAAGAAUGCGUAACUAGGAUAAUGCGCAAAAAAUUUCCUCCUUAAGCGGAGGUAAAAAAAAGUGUUGGUCUUGCUAGCGAUGGUUGAGUGAGUCUUAAUUUUAGUUUAAUUGGUUGCAGUUUUUUUUCUUCCAUCUCCCUUUUAGUGCUAUUCAUGGUUGGCAUCAGGUCUUUGUUUUCGGAACUCUCAAUAAUAGUUAAUGAUAUGAACCUUGCUUUAAUAAUACAUAUAUUCUAUCAAAAAGAAAUGGAAGCGAUACAUUUUGGCAUGAGCAGCUUAACUAAUUGGUCCCAUCAUGCUUCGCACUUUUGUAUACGUAAAUAAUUUUGGUGUAAAGAUACAUAAAUAUUUUUUGUGUAAAUAAAUAAUGUUGUUUUCCCAUGUAGACACAAUCUCAAUGUCUUCCUUGCUCAGUCUUUUUUAGCAAGCUGCAGUUGGCUACGUGUCUACGUCCAGCGGGUUUUAUUCAGUUUGAUACCACAUGCACUGGAUUUUUUUUGGUAUCAAGUUUAAAGAACCACACACGAUGAACUCAUAUAUUAUGUGUGUAUCAAUUUUUUUAAUAGAAGACGAUCCCAAAUAAAGCCUAUAAGAUGGAGGAGCUGACACAAACAAACAAACAAACAAACAGACAGACAAACAGACAAACACAAAAGCCUUUACUGAAAAACAAAAAAUAAUAACACAAAGUAGGCAUAUUUAAUCGUUGACCGAGACUUUGUGACUGUUUCUUAUUUCUCAGUUGCCUUGACAGACCCUACUCUGGAAGCGCUAAUUUCAUCUGAAAUGUUUCGUUCCGCAAUUCCAUAGGUGCAAGCCGUGCUCUUGUUGCUUGGAGGAGAGCUGGCCCCAGGAUUGGGCUUAGAGACGUCGUCAUCCAAUAAGGUAAUUUAGAGCUCUCUUGGUGAGAUCGAGAUGUAGAAUUUAUCCAUUGAGAAAAUUCACAAUUACGUGGUGCUGAUGUUCUAGUGUUUGUACUAUGUAUUCUCUGAUAUAGGCGGCGAAUUCUGCACACCGGAUGGCAUCGAUAAUAAGGUACCGGAAAAAGCGCAGCAAGAGGAACUACGAUAAGAAGAUCCGCUAUUCUGUUCGCAAGGAAAUUGCACAUAGGUCAGUGCUAUCGUGGUAACGUGUAAAUGGAGCUUAAUUUGUGGGCUUUAGCAUAACGCUCUGCAUUGGCUACAUUUGCAGGAUGCAGCGCCAUAAAGGUCAGUUUACAUCAGCUAAAGCAAAGGCUGAAGAAGCAACAACAUCUGGGAUUACUUCAGAUGGUUCAAGGUACUCCCUUUGUCCUCUUUUUAUAGGCGCCUUUGAUUUUUCUCUGGUACCUAGACGGACUGGAGCAAUUGCAUUUUGAACGAAAAGAACCUAGCAGGCCGCCUGUGUUCUGUUUAUACGUGAUCGUUGGACUGCACCUGCUCAAGAAGACAACGAGGUGUCUUAGCCAAGGGCUUCUUUCCUGCCUAAAGAGUUCGUUUAUUUUUGGCUGAAUAAUUAAGAGUCGCAUGCAUCGUAGGCUAAUUAUAUAAUGUCCGCUUUCCAAAUUGUCCACAUAUAUUUCCAAGCAAGCAAUUAGUGGCGUGCACUAGCUUGUGCGGGCGUUUUCACGCAUCUGGCAUUUAAUUGUCCACAAUGGACACAAGCUAAUUAUAUAAUGCCCACUUUCCAAAUUGUCCACAUAUAUUUCUCAAUGAAUCUAUUAUCAAACAACUAUGCAUUCAACGAUACCAAUGCAAGAAUAAAGUAGGGUGCAAAUGAAUUAAAAUGACAUGGUUGAAAAAUCUCAAAUGACAAAGUUCAAAUCCAUCAUACACUCCUCUCGAUACUCCUAGAGAUACAAACCCAAAUAUAUGUGAUGAACUAAACCUUCCCUAACAGCAAUAUAUACUCAACAAACAUUUGCUAACUCAAAACAGCAACAAACAUAUGCUGGACCAUGUGCUAACAGCCCCACUUGUAAACAAGUUUUUUUCCUGUACCAUCUAUGUUAGACGAUAAUGCUCUGAUAUUCUGUUUAGAUGGUUUUUAAUCAGAAACUAUAUAUAUGGUGCUUUUCCUUGGAUAUUAAGUUUCCACUUCAUUCUCUUAGUCCGUAUUAUAUUUAAUUUUCUUUGAAGCAAAAACUAUAUAUCAUGGUUUCAUACCCUUUUUCUAUUCAUCUUUUUUGUAUGUUAGUGGAAUUUUAUUGCAUUAGGUUCUUCUUACAUCUAGAUGGAGUGCAAUAGUAAAAUACAUUGCGAGUAAUUUGUUUCUAGCAUUAGUUUUUUCUUUCUAUUUUUAUAUUUCACUAUUCGCUGUUAGUAGGUACUCACACUUAUUUUUGGAGGACAUUAUUACAUAAUUUGAGCGGACAUUAGUACAUCAUGUUCUAUCUGACGUGUUUGCCAUUUCUAGCAGUAACAUCUUGGAAUAGAAGCUGGAUCAGGAGCACAGCCUGCUCCUGCAUGCUGCCAAAUGGCAAUGACGGCCGGUGGUGGAUGCAUGCUUCAGAGAACGUUGCUUAUGUGUUGCAUAUGGUCACAGAGUUGUUUUGCUUGGAACUAGAAGUUGGCUGAAUCCGAACUUGAGAUUCGAGAUCUGCACUGAUAUUAUGGCUGUGUUUUCUGGACUUAUUAUUUUCCUGCAUGUGUUGAUGAUAUAUAGACGAGUUUAAAACUGUUUAUGAGCGGUCCAUGAGAUGUUAUUAUAUUUCACCUUCUUACAGAUGGUACAUUAGUAUUCUAUUAGCACCUUUCCAGUAUUAUUGCUUCACCGCUUAAAAUCAUUUCCUAUGUGUGGCGGGGGCACGAGUUGGACUAGAUAUGAUAUUCAUGCAUAUUGCGCGCCUGACAGAUUGCUCCAGGAUUUCCAUUUUUUGUUAGAUUUUCUAUACAUGAAUUAAGCGGAAAGGGGAGUGGGGUUUCGGCGCCGUUAACCGAUCCUUUGUAGGUCUAUGAAGGUUGAUGAUGUAUGCUGCCUUAGAGGCAAGGUUUGCCCCCAUGAUGUUUUUUAGGCUUCCAGGACACCAACGAUCGCUUCAUUGUGGUUCUUCGUCUUCUUUUCUUCUUUUCCAAGGUUUGAUUAACCGACACCAACGAUGGGGUGAAAAUUGCCGCCACAUAUUUCCAUAGCAACAUGUUGAUGGGGACGGGGAGGGGGUGUUCUUGGAUGGCCACUGUAAGGGGGUAGCGUAUAGCUCGUUCUGUAGUGGUGCAUCGCUACUACCCUAUUAAAAUCUCUUUUUAUUUUGUGCACCUGCACCUUCUGGAUCUGACCCCAUGAUCGCAUGAGCUUCUCUGGUCACUAUUGCCCAAGGCAUGCCAAGAGUGCCAUCAUCCGAAUUAAGUACAACUGGCAUGUGCACCCAAUAUGCUGUGGUGCGCAGGCUAGCUAGCACCAUUUUGCCUCUGCCGCACUAUAUAGCAUAUCAUUUUUUACAUAUAAUAGGGUAGCCAAAAUAUAAUAAUUACGUAUAUCAAUUGCGUUAUGUCCAGAUGACUAUCUUCUUGAGUCUUUGGCCCCCAAUUCCCAAACACUAGCGAGCCAGAGCCCAGAGCUUAGCGACACAAUACGAGGCAUGCAACCGACUGUUUUAGAUGGAUGGAAGCAGUGAUGGAUUGAACAGAUCGAGAGGACGAGCUAGGCGAUGUUAACUUAACCUUCAGGCAGAGCAGCUUUCCGGCCGUUGCUCACUUUCUGAUUUCCUAGUCCCUAGAUCGUCUCGCUGUUGUCGGACCGCAAACAGUACUGCCUCCGCGAACAGUACCUAGCAGUAAAGUAGACCCAGUCAGAGACCAAGCUAGUACGUCAGCACCCGAGGCUUAGCUCUCCACCUAGGGUUAAUUCCCCACUUCGAAACGCCCCCGCCCGCCGUCUCCGAUCCGAGAUCUCCUCCCCCGGCCACACCAUGAGCAACCAGCACGAGCUCCAACGGCAGCUUUACGAGCAGCAACCGAUGAUGCCCAUGGCGGGCGGCGGGGAACAAGGCGCCGUCCCGAUGGACGCGGACGCGGACGCGGAUCCGGCGGCGGCGGCGGCGGCGCAAGCGCAGCUGCACGGGGCGGCGGCGAACGCGGACGCCGCCGCGUCCAACACUACGCUCACCCUUUCGUACCAGGGCGAGGUCUUCGUCUUCGAGUCCGUCUCACCCGACAAGGUGCCGCUCCUAGCUCUAGAUCUCUGAUAUCAUUUAUCUCGUGAAUUCUGCUCCCUGUCAUGCCGAUUUUCUCGUUCCAUUUCGACUACAGGUGCAAACGCUGCUGUUAUUGCUAGGAGGGAGGGAGCUGGCCCCCGGAUUGGGCUCGGCUCGGAGCAGCCGUCAUCCUCGUCCACUAAGGUUGACCUACCUCUUUUUUUUUUCUUUUCUUUUUUCUUCUCACAACCUUCACACGUACUCAUGUUUUAGCAGUCAUGCCAGUUGUGAUCGACACUUACUACGAGACGGAGAGAUUACUUUGCAACAAAUUAACCACAUGAUGCUUGCAUAUAUAGUUAUAUACACACACAAAUCAGCAACUAGUCCUAAUAAUCGGACACCAAUUCACACAAUAUAGAACCUUAACCUAGCCAGCUUUAGUCCUCUAUACUAGUAUAGGGAAACACUAACUCGCACAAUAGAAUCCUACCCUAACUCAAACACUAGAUUAGUCUAACAUUAUCCAUUGAGAAACUAAUUCGCAAUUAUGUGGAGGCGUUUAUGUUGAGUGUGUUGGGUUUGCCCAAAGAUCAGUCACAUGAAGAUGCACACGAUCGGGAAUUUAUUUGGCCAGAGACACCUGUCGUGCCUCUCUUUUUAUUUCUUCUCAAUAUCUCAAAUCCCACGUUACAAAAGCUGACCCUGGUGCAUGUAUAUAUACACCCAAAAUCACCUAAUCCUAAUAGGACUAGGACUUAAUGUGCAAAAGGACGAGCCAGUCCUAAACGGACUCAUACAACAAGAUUAUUCUAACAAUCUCCCCCUAAUCUUGACUUGCCGUCUCCUCGUGCUCCCCCUGAACUUGACUCUCCGCAGCUUCAUGACUUGUUGACUACACUCAACGUAUGAUCCAGACUCCCAGUCACGCUAGCUCCUGCAUGGACUACACCGCCCACACCUAGCGCAAUACAUGCUAGCUAAACCCAUAGCUCCACAUAGAGACAUGUCCUCAUCGAAGAGACUCACCUUCACUGGUACACCGCCCCACUAUACACUUGAGUUUCCGUCUUCUCGUCGAGACACACAGAUGACACCCACCACCUUGUCUGCACGCACGUCUUCGCCCUCAGUGAUACACCUCACCGGAUAGCCCUUCGACCGUGACUCACUUCUGCUGCAACAGAGUUCCACAUAGACGAGCACUUGAACACAACCACGACUCACAAACACUGACUUGGACGUACAUACGCAGCUUGACCCAAUGUCAAGUACUUUCCAACGAUCAGGAUGAUCUCCCGUUACUAGAAGAUCGGUCCACUGCGACGAUAGUCCUAUCUGAUCUGCUGAACGUCGCUCCACUGCACAGCCACCGAUUGCUCGAUCCAAUCCACUGAACACCUCUUCACGCACUACCACCGUUUGCCCGCUCUUAUCCGCGGACACCGCUCCGCCGCUGAGUGCCCGCCCCGAGGCACUAGCACAUCGCCUCCCCGGGGCAAGCGUGUCUUCAAAUCUUGACCUCGCUCUGAUACCAAAUGUUGGGUUUGCCCAAAGAUCAGUCACAUGAAGACGCACACGAUCGGAAAUUUAUUUGGCCAGAGGCACCUGUCGUGCCUCUCUUUCUAUUUCUUCUCAAUAUCUCAAAUCCCACAUUACAAAAGCUGACCCUGGUGCAUCUAUAUGUACAUCCAAAAUCAUCUAAUCCUAAUAGGACUAGGACUUAAUGUGCAAAGCUAAUUAAACUUGUACUAGUGCUACUACUCGAACUCAGGACGGACCAGUCCUGAACAGAAUCAUACAACAAGAUUAUUCUAACAGAGUGUUUGUAUUCUCUGAUACAGAAGUCGAAGAAUACUGCACACCGGAUGGCGUCCCUACUCAGGUUCCGGGAAAAGCGCGGCAGGAGGAACUUCGAUAACAAGAUCCACUAUCCUGUUCGCAAGGAAGUUGCGCAUAGGUCAGUGUGCUGUCUUGGUAUAACGUGUAAGUGGAGCUUAGCUUGCGUGCUUCGCCAUAACGCUACGCAUUGGGGUUACAUUUGCAGGCUCCAGCGCAACAGAGGUCAGUUUGCAUCGUCUAAAGCAAAGGCCGGAGAAGGAGCAGCAUCUGGGACUGCUGCAGAUGGUUCAAAAAAUUGGGGUGCAAUGGAAGACCAAACUCCAUAUACUGCAGCUAUGUAAGUCCGCAAACUCUUGUACUGGUUAUAUACAUGUUUGACAUUGCAUAGUGCUUGUUGGGCUUUUUAAUUUUAUAAGUAUAUAUAUGCACUUUAAUAUUGCUUUAUCUAGAUUUUAUAAGUAUAUAUAUGCACUUUAAUAUUGCUUUAUCUAGAUUUUAUAAGUUGAGAAGGCCAAUAAUGAUACCUUUACAUAAAUAGAUGCUUCGUUCUACGGGUUAUACGUAACGAAUACUCAUGUUUAUUUGUUAUGACAACUUUAUUUGCUUCACAACAAGAAAAAUAUAAUACCACCUCGUUUUCAGUUUUUAUAAGGCACGGUCACAUAUCUAGGUUAUCAGUUUGACCAACAAAGUAUGAGUUAUAUGCCAUAAAAACUUACGUCGCUACAAACUUCGAAUACCAUGGUUGCUAAUGAUAUACUUUGUGUGGCAUGCAAAUCAUGUUUUGUUGGUCAAAUCGAUGACCUAGAUACGGGCACAUGCCUUAUAAACUGAAAAGUAGGGAAUAGUUAUUAUUAGUUUGAUAAUUAUUGCACUAUGCAAUUUUCCAGAUGUCAGAAUUGUGGUGUUAGUUCAGAUACCACACCUAUGAUGCGGAAAGGACCCAAUGGCCAAAGGAUUUUGUGCAAUGCCUGUGGCCUAGUAUGGGCGAAAAAGGUACUCCCUCUGUCCUCUUUUUGUGCGCCUUCGAUUUUUCCUCUGCUACAUGUGGAUAGACCGGAGCUAAUGCAUUUUGGACAAAAAUACCACUAGCAUGUGGCCCCUCCUGUGUUCUGUCUAUAUGUGAUUGUUGGAUUGCGCACCAGCUCGGGAAGACAACGGGCCGGGGUGUCUUGGGAAGCCCAAGGCCGAUUUAAUUACUCCCUCACUUUAAAAUUCUAAGGCCCAUCUCCUAAUUCACAUUAAACAAGGAGUACUAGACUAAACAUUAAUACAACAUAUAUGCACACCAAGCUUGAUGCACACCUGUCCUCUUCAACCAUUGGUUGAUUUCACAUGGGAAACCAAAAUUUGCUUGUUCCCAAGACAAAUGCGCUUACAUACUACUCACUCAAUUCCAAAAUACAUCUCAUAUAGAUUUAUGCACUUGGACCAAGAUAACUCUCGUUUCUAGUGCCUGGCCACUCAUAUUGGGUUAAUAAUAAAUGGAUGCGACUAGUUAUGGCCGAGUGCGAGUUUCAAGAGAAAAAUGAGGUAUAUUAUGAAACAAAUGCGAAAAAUUUGUAUACGUUGUAUUGUGGAAUGGAGGGAGUAAAAAUUUGAGGUUUUUGAGAUAUGGGCCUUACAAACUGGCAUAUGGUGGCAAGAGAGUAAAUGGGGGGGGGGGGUAUUUUAGGCACUAUGCAGCUAAGAAAAGUUGUGCGCCCACAAACUCUGAACAACGUGAAUCAAAUAUAGCACCCACAAAAGCUGGAGGGAGGGAGUACUCAAAUGCUUUAUGAUACUCCCUCCUUCCAAAUUAUAUGUCGUUUUACCUUUUUUUGCUUCUUUCCUGCCAAAUGAGGUCGUCUUUCGUUUUCACGACACUUUGCAUUCAUACACCACGUGGUUUUCCAAGGCAAGCAAUUAGUGGCAUGCACUUGUGGGGGUGUUAUUCGCACAUCUGGCAUUUAAUUAUGCAUGCAUUAGCAGGGAUACAAAAUUGUUAUCCGCAUUUUCGCUGGUGAAUUAAAUGAUCAACACGUGCAUGCGCCGAAUGGCAUUGGUAUUCCAUCCAAGUGAAAACGACCUAUAAUUGUCUAAGCCCCACUUGUAACUCAUUUUCCCUGUCCCAUAUAUAUUAUGUUAGACUAUAAUUAUAUUAUAUUUUGUUGAGAUGGUUUAUAAUCAGCAACUAUAUAUAUGGUGCUUUUCCUUGGAUAUUAAGUUUCCACUUCAUUCGCCGACUCUGUAUUAUAUUAAAUUUUCUUUCAAGCAAAAAGUAUAUAUCAGGUUUGGGACCCCUGUAUCUAUUCAUCCUUUUUGUAUGUUAGUGGAAUUUCAUUGCAUUAGGUUCUUCUUGCAUCUAGAUGGAGUGAAUAGUGAAAUAUGUUGCUAGUAAUUUGUUUCCAGCAUUAGCCUUUUUCUCUUUUUAUAUUUUACUCUUCGCUUUUAGUAGGUACUCGUACUUAUUCUCUCUGACGUUUUUGUCCUUUGUAGGGUCAUAUGAGGAACAUCUCGAAAUGUUUAACUGCGCCUCAGCAAGUUGUACCAGCAGCCACUAGUGAAGUUGUGAGUCACUGCGCUUCCAUUAGAUUUACAUCUUACCUUAUAGAAUAAUCAAGAUAUUCAUUCAAUCUUAAUUAUUAUAUUAUACCUUUCUCAUAUUUCUGUGACCUAAGUUUUGUAAAACCAUCAUUUUGAAACUUCAUAGUGUAAGCUUCAUUAAAUAUACAUGUCCCUAGCUAUUUUGCAGUUGUAGACACAUGGACUGCAGGAAUUUAUGCACAUUAGGUUUACGAAAACUAGACAUGUGGAUAUGGUUAGAUUUUCUGAGGUGCAAUGAAUCGUACACGUGAAUCCUGACAUGUACUCUAUCUCACGUGGAACUAAUUCUUGUACUCUGCAGCAGAAUGGAAUGACAGAAGCAGCACCAACCGACAACGAGCAGCAACGUAUUGCAAUCGAGGUUGCACCCGGAGCGCAGCCUGCUCCUGCUGCCAAUGGCAAUGACUCGUAGCCUUCUAGGUGAUAGGCGAUGCUUCAGAGGACGCUGAUGAUCUGUUGCAUAUGCAUGGUCAUGGAGUUUUUCUUACAUGGAACUUGUAGUUGGCUGAAUUUUGCUUCAUGUGUUGAUGAUAGAUGAGUUCAAAACUGUUUAUGAGCUAGCGGUCCAUGAGCUAGAUGUUACGGGAUUUCACCUUCUUACAGAUGUUACUUUAGUAUUCUAUUAGCACCUUUUCAGAAUUAUUGCUUUGCCGCUUAAAAUCAUUUCCUGUGUGUGGCGAGGGUACGAGUUGGCUAGACAUGCAUUCAUAUUGGGCGCCUAACAGAUUGCUCCAGGAUUUCCAUUUUUGGUUAGAUUCUCUAUACAUGAAUUAAGCGGAAGCUAGUGGGGGCGGGGGUUCGGCCGCCGUUAACCGAUCCUUUGUAGAUCCAUGCAGGUUGUUGUAUGCCUGCUGCCUUACAAGCAAGGUUUGCUCCAUGAUGUUUUUUAGGCUUCAAGGGCACCAAUGGUGCUGCUCCGACUUCCUUUGUGUUCUUCUUCCUCUUGCCUUUAUUUAGGUUUGAUUAGAGCUUUCCUGCUUGCUUCUUGUGGUUAAUAUCACUAGCUAAGGUUUGGAUAUAUCUUACAAAUUUGUUCUCUCUGGCCAUUCUUAUCUUAAGGCUUCACAUUUGAUCCCUUUCUUUCGUCUGGCGGAUUCUCUCAGCUUUGAUGAUGUUCUGACGGGCACGUCUACAGGUUUCUUGUGUUUCCAAAGCUCUCCUCGUAGAGUUUAGCAUGCGAGAAUCAACCUCAACGAUCGCAGCUCACCGUGCGUAAAAUUGCAUUGCAAAGAUUCCCCCAAAACUUGACGAAUUGGUAAAUAGCUCCCUGAUGCACAAUAUGAGUGUCAAACACAUGAAAGCAUAUUAUGGUACGUUUUAUACCACACAAUGCAAUGCACUCAUAUAUAUUUUGGAAGAGAUAGAACUAGAUUUUUUCUUUAUCUACGAAACUCAACAAAUUUUACUGACUAGCUAGUAUAUGAAUGUUUUUAUAAUGAUAUUUUUUUGUUGUAGCGGCGGCCAGCGGUAGACCACUUUUUUAGGUUUACAUGGACAUUUUAAUUGCACGAAGUAGAUAGCUUCCAUGAGCCGUAUCUUCAGGAAUUUUUCACAACACACUGUGGCUGUGUUUGGAUGUCUCCAUGGACGUAACUUGUAAACUUGCAUUGCACUAGGGAGACGCAGCUAGGAUAUAUACAUGCAUGUCGAGAAUGCAUAGAGAGCUACAACCACUUUUUGGCUGCCUUCCAUCCAUCGGUGUCGCGGCAGGAGAUGGGCACCCCACUUUUCAUAAUGGGGAAAACUAAUUUUAAUUAAAAACAAAAGAUCUCAUAUUUCAAAACCUUGGUUUGAUCAUUUGGAAUUAAUUUGGUGUGUAAUUGUAGUUUAUCUGGUCGACUAAUGUCUUUUUGUGGAAUUGGAAACCAGUUGAUUUUUAAUUAUUUUUUUUGUUAAACUUGAAACACAUCUCAAUCUCUAUCAUCUACCUUGUCUCAAGAUCAUAAAUUAAAGGAGAAUACAAAAUCCCUCCAAAAUCCAAUUACCAAAAUCCUAACUUUCCCUCUCCUUCUAAUCCAGUAAUUAUUCUUUAAUCCCAAUAAAAAUAAAAACCAAAUUAUUUAAUUCUGAGAAAAUUAAGUGUGGAUCAUAUUUAAACUAAUUUUGAUUUGUGGUCAAUUUUUUUAUAUUAAAUAAUUAUUUUCCUGAUUUUACCAAAUGAGAACAAAAGUAUGUUUUAAUAUUUUAUGCAAGGUUUUUACUUCACAAAAUUCCCUAAAAUUUCCCUUAUAGUAGUUAGCUAUUUAUGACAAGUUUCCAAAAUAAAGUUUUUCAACUUCCGUUCAAACUUUCAGAGCAGUUUUAAAUUUAAAUUUAGCCCAUAUUUGAACUUGCAACUGUUUGCAAACCUCUUGGAGGAGUCCAUGAGCUGCCCACAUUAUGGAAUCCACACCGAUCGAUGUGUGCCGGUCGUGUCUCUCGCCGCCCCGCAUAUUGGCUACCUCGCUUUGUGCAUUGCUUGUAGCCUGGCUACACUGCGACACACGCUUGUCAUGCCACCAUUGUCGCGCCAUUGUGCCUCCUUGACCAUCGCAUGUCAUACAAAUGCAUGCCGUUGUUCCACUAUGUGUCGUCACAAGCUUUGAAGCGGCGGGAGACGGGGUUGAAGGUGAAGAGAGGAAGGGUAGCGGGAGCUCUCUCCCAUGUAAUGAGGUCAAAGUGUUGUAAAAAAUUCUAAUCAACCAUAAAAUUAACCACCCUAAAUCGGCCACAACAGCACUAAAAACACUUAAUGAUUGAUCCAUCCGGGUUUGUGGAUUUCAGAGUUUUGGGGGGUGGGGGGGGGGGGGUGGGGAUUGACGGAAAGUACAUUUGGUGUGAAAUAUGGACUUAUUUUGCAUAGCAUUAUGGUGAUGGGCUUGGUGGACUGGAUGCACCAAAACGUGCAAAAAGAUGACCAUGACGAUACCCUCGAAACCUUUUUAGUUCAAACAAAUGAACCCUUUUACACAAAAAAAUUCUGAGGGGAUAAAACCAAUUUAUUGCACUCUCACUUGAACAUGAAUACAAGUGAUCUCAGGAGCUUCUAACAAUCACAAACGCCGUCCAAAAUAAAGCGGUGAAACCGGUAGCUAAAUCAUAAGCAUUAAAAAUUCAAAAUUAAGCACACGCUUUUCAUGCCUACACACCACCUCUUGAAACAGCUCCAUUCUCUCCUCAAUUUCCUUCGUGCCCUACAAGCCUGAAUGGUCCGUAUCUUCUCUCCCAGCCCAACCCGGUAGUGUAUCCAAAGCCCAAACCAACACGUGGCCCGGCUGGCUUAAUUUGGCCCAUCCCCUAAAAUAAUGGCAACUCUUGGCGCCAAACUGCUACCUCUUUCCCGCCAACUUCUCUCUCUGUCCCUCGCGCCGCCGUAACAUCGUUCCCCGCCUCCCGCAGCCGCAGAGGCGACGAAAAAUACCAAGCUCUGAAGCUCCCUCCACGGCCGCCUCCACACCUCCGUCAGCCGCCGGUGUCGCUAACCGCCUCCCUCAGAAGCCGCAGUCGCCGCUUCCGUCAGCCGCAGCCGCCGGGCGCUGGAUCCGCUUCGCCUUCCGGGUGCCAUCGCCGCCCCGUCCAUAUCGGUACGCCUCCCACUCUGUAUCUCCUCCUGCUCUCGCCUUCUCGUCCCUCGUCAAACGGCGGCGGCCCGGUCCGUGUAAGCUGCGUCAGCGGCAGCGCGAGCCAGACAGAGGGGAAGGGAUGGGCAGCCCCGAGCUGCCUGCCGAGUCUUGGGGGACCCCGGAAGGGAUUUGGGGAGCGGUUGAAUUUGGGGAUUCCCAUUUGCAGCAAUUAGUCCACAAUAGCAAUUAGUUUGUUCUUUAUUUAGUUAGGAAACCUUGCUUUAUUGGGUGGAAUUUCCGAAGAGUCUGUUCUGUUUUGGGGGAUUCUUUCUUUGCUAUCCUGGUGAGCACUCAAAACCAAAAUUGUUCUUUUCUAUUUGUUCAGUCAGAUGCCGGUUUGCUUGCUUGCUAUGUGGCACCUUUGUAAUCUAAUAAAUGCAUCCAUUUUUUGUCUAGGUUCUUCUUCAGCACACAAGGUUGAUCUAGUCCUCCUCCUCUGGUAUGGAGGAUGAGAGGGCCAUGGAGAUCGAUGGGCAGCAGCAGCAAGAAGACACCGCUGCUGUGCCCAAAGGCUUCAACGCCGAUUACCUCCGAAUAUACUAUGGUGAAGUGCUGUAGUCAUUUUGUCUAUCCAAAAUCAUAAUGCGAGGAACUGAUAGGGUAAAGAAGCUGAAAUGAGAGGCAGAUUUGAAUUCCUUGUACUACCUCUGUUACAAAAUACAAGAGUAUGGUGUAAUACUCAACACAAAGAUGCCUCAAAUUUGGAAGCAAUUUGCUAAACAAUUCUCACCCCCAAGAGUUCUUCUUCACCAAUUUCUUGUACUUGCUUUCUUGCAAAAAAAUAGAAUAAAAUUGGAUGAAUGUAAAUAAUUAUGUCUGGUUCUUAGGUUCAGACUUAGUCUAUUAUAGAUUAUAGAUCUGGUGUAGUUAAGAGGCUCUUUAACUGAGAAAAGCUUACAACUCAUCUAGUGCUGAUGGUUAUUUCACAACUGCAGGAAAGUUAUUCCCAUAUGGUGAUUUCUUCAAGUGGCUUUGCUAUGGAAAUGGUCUGUGGUCACACUUUACUACUUCAGUGUUGGUUCUAAUUGUCUUGCUCUGUGCUAACUGAUUUUUUUUCUGUAGAUGGAAAACAUCCAGGAUGUGAUCAGUCAUACAUUGGGCGUCGGGAGCUUUCGUUUACACUGGAGAAUGACAUCUAUCUCCGGUUCCAGUCCUUUGACAGUGCAGCUGAACUGGAGAGCUCUAUCAAAGAGAAGUGCCCUUUCAAGAUUGACAUUGGACCUGUUUACAGCGUAGAUGUAUGAUAUAGCAUUAUCGAACAUGCCAAAUAUUUAACUUGAUUUAAUUGUCUAUAUUAAGCUUUGUGUGCUAUUGCCUAAUGAAUUAAGUUUUGUAGCCUGCAAAGCGACAUGCCUAUGCCCAGUCUGGCAAUAAUGUCUUUGCACCAGUUGAGAGAGAACUUAUUUUUGAUAUUGUAAGAAAUAUGUCAUGUUUUUCUUCAUCAUCUGAUGUGCGUGUCCUGUGUUAUCUUUGUUCAACUGUUGCUAACUGUGAGCAUUUUCAAUAUUCCUAGGAUAUAUCUGAUUAUGAUGACGUUCGGUACUGCUGCUCUGGAGCCGACACAUGUCUGGACUGCUGGCCGUUAAUGACCAUUGUUAUCAAAAUCCUGGAUACUUCACUUAGAGGCAUGUUGGUUUGUUUAUGCAAUUACUUUGAGCACACAUGACAAUCACAUGUUGCUAUGAAAAUUCUGGAUAAUUCACUCCCAUUGCAGUCUAUACUAUCUUGAUCUGCUUUACUUUAAGUUACUGAAAUUAUGUGCUUGCAGGUGAUUUUGGUUUCAAUCACAUACUGUGGGUAUAUAGUGGUCGCCGUGGUGUCCAUUGCUGGGUUUGUGAUAGUAGAGCAAGAAAGUAUGUUUAAGAGAACCUUUUUGUACCUGAAGUGAAUGUUCUCUUUGUUUCUUGUCUGGUGAUCAUGAAAUUCAUCUCUGUUCUCAUACUAGGCUCAGCAAUGAACAAAGGUCUGCAAUUGCUGACUACUUCCGCGUCUAUAAGGUGGUACAUCUUGAUUCAUAUCUCUAGCCCUUUUCCACGCCUGUAUUCCAAAAUCUGUUGAUCUCCAUUACCUUUUUUCAGGGUGGUGAGAAUACAUCGAAAAAGGUGUCGUUGACUGGGCCUGUUCUCCACCCUUUCCUUGCGUAUGCUCUAAACAUAACCAUCUCCUACUUGCAUGUUGUAUGUGUGAAUUGUGGGAAACAAAUAUGUUAUAUUGAAGCUUUAUGCUGCUGCAGACGGUCAUACACUGAUGUUCUGAAAUGCUUCUUUGAAGACAAGCUAUUACAUAGCCAACAACUAUUUUCAUCAGAGGAGAGAUGCAACAAGAUACUUGAACUUAUUCCUGAUGAAAGUAAGAAAUAAACCUUAAGAAGCUGAGACAAUGUUCUCCAAAUAUCACUUCUAUCAACAAAUUCUCAUUCAUCAAGUACGAGAUGUGUUCAACAUCAUCCUAAACGGGUGCCUUUUCUAGAUGUUGCUAGUGAGCUCCAUGACAAAUGGCAAGGAAAUAGACGCUCCUCUAUUUCAAAGGAAGAUGUAAAUGCAGCAAGAUGGGAGCAGUUAAAGAUGACUUUGCAGUCAGGAAAACACAAGGUUAGUGUUUAAUCUCAUGUCGCUCUAUUCACUUCUAUUGCAUAUUGUUAAUUUCUACUGCAGUAAGUAUAUAUGUCUCUUGAGUAUUCAAGGGGGAUGCUGUGUGUAGUGUUCACUCUUCAUAAAUCACAGUUGCAUCUUGUGAUUCAGCUUGCCGUGUCAAAAUGUAGGAUGAAUAAUAGUGGUAAAUCAUGUUUUUGUCUCAGGCGCAGGGGCUUCGCAGAUGUGUAGAAGAGAUUGUCUUCUCAUACACGUAUCCUAGACUUGACAUGGAGGUAACAGAAAAAUCAUCACGAAUACAUGUUCAUAGCAAGUGGAUUAUUAAUAUCUUUUUCCUCUAUUGAUCAGACUUGAUGUUGUAUAUCAGGUGUCAAAACACAUGAAUCAUUUACUGAAAGCUCCGUUCUGCAUACACCCAAAGACAGGUAAAAACUAAGUAGAUUUCUGGUUUAGUUUUCUAAUGUAAUAAGGUGACACGAUUGCAUGGACGAAAAAGCAGCGUGGAGCUUGUUAUCCAUUAGAAGUUUCUACCGUGACAGUUUCUUGAAUGAUGCACACUUUUAGCACAGCACUGAUUUACUUAAUGCGUACACUUAUGACUUUUGGAGGAGUCAAACCGUGCUCUCUUUUCUUUGUACAACUGUACAUAUGAUUAAUCUGUCACCUCAUUAGUUCUAACGACCAUUCUAACGUUUCUCCAGGACGUGUUUCGUUCCAAUUGAUCCCAAUAAUUGUGAUGAUUUUGAUCCUGCGGCUGUUCCAACUCUAUCACAGGUAUUGUCUAUAGAGCCAAACAUAAAAUAAAAUAAAAAACAUGCUAAAAAAUUAUUUGCGCCUUUUGAUGUGUGAUCAUGCAAUCCUGACUUGUUGAAAUUACCAUACACGCCCAGCUAUUAGGAGAGCUCAAUGCUGCUGGUAUGCAGAUUGAUUCUGAGAGUGGUAAGUGGUUCUAGAAACUUGCACCUCUUGGGAUUUGUGUUAAAGUGCUGCAUCAUUUUAUAACUUGCAAAUUACAUUUUUGUAACAUACAGCCUUGUCUUGCAUACUCCUCAUAAUCCUGUUCUGAAUUGCUCAAUUGCAGAUUGGGAAAGAACAUCCCUCGAGAAAUCCAUCAGAUUUUUCAGAACAUCCUUUCUGCAGCCAAUGCUGAAAGCUUGCAAGGUAUGCAGGGUGUUCGAAGUUCAGGGGGUUAAGUAAGGCAAAAUACUCAGGGCUGGUCCUGAGAUUUCAGGGGCCCGGGGCGAAAAUCAGAACCUGGACCCUUAAUAUAAACACUAAAUAAUAAUCAAUAUAUGUACUAGUAUAAAAUUUCGUCAAUAAAAAUUUCUCGAACUCUUUAAAAAUUUAUCAACCAACCCUCUUUGCGAUUCUAUCAACUCAUCUGCUAGUUUCCUCUUUUUCAUUUUUCACCAUCGGAUGCAUAAUUUUUAGAUGACACGACGAUGCUGAGACUUUAACAAACAAUCUGCUUUUGAAGAAAUGUUACUCCCUCCGGCCAGAAUUACUUGUCGAAAUAUUACAUGUAUCUAGACGCUUUUUGCACAUAGAUACAUUCAAAUUUGGGCAAAUUUGAGACAAGUAAUACCGGUCGGAGGGAGUAACAAACAAUUGACCAAUUUAGAACUAGUGCAAACCUACAAAAUACUAAAUCAGUUGAGUAAAAUGUACUGGUUAAUCACGAUUACUUGCCGACUCGGACGAUGUGAAAAUUGUGCUUGAGACGGUUUGCAUAUUGGUGAAGGUGUCUAUCUUGUCUCCUGAUCCAGAGCCCUAUCCUUAGGUUUGUUGUCUGCUCGCGCACUAGAAGCCUCCAGUAGGCAUGGCUGUGUCAGUCGACAGAUUGUGCUUGAGAUGGUUUGCAUUUGUGCUGGAAUAGAGUUGUAUUGUUGAGCCUAAACCCUGUAUACUUGGUUGGUAGACAAUUUUUAUCAACAUGUUUUAAUCUUCAAAAAAAAAAUAGCACUUUGCUAUCUUGUGGUCCUGUCAUUUUUGUAGUGCUGAAAAAAAUGUCAGUUUUUAAUAACCAUGUAAGUUUUUGCAGGAGGAACUGGAAAGUGCUUAUAACGCCAAGCUCCAGCAGUCCAAGAAUGCCUUGAAUUGGUAAAACUUACAGACACACACAAAGGCGGCAUGCCAUACAGUUAUCCUAGUAUCGCCCCCAUGGAUGACCAUGAAAUUGUUCGAGCUUGCUCACAAUCUUCUUUUGUGGGCAUACUCGGCACAGCCAAAUGUUAAUGUAUUGCAAGUUGUAACUAUGAUGUUAAAGAUGAAUUGCUCUGAGACUUCAUGCUUGGUGGUUUGAGCGACGCCGGAUACGUUUCGCUGUGCAUAUAGAAUAUGUUUGGUCCUUGAAUUUCUAUAUGCAUAGCGAGACUUGUUUAGAGUCGCUGAAACUACCAAGCAAAAAGCCUUGGAGCACCAAGAGUAUACUACUCGGGAAAAGAGAUGUUAGUUUGACGCAUGUGAUGUGAGUCAUGGACCAAAAUAGUGCUAGCCAUGGGCUUGCUUUUAUUUGACACUCCCAAGGUCCAACUGCGUAUUGGUUGCGGAGUUACCCUGGUGGGAUCGCAGAGGCAAUAAAUGUUAAAUUUUAUGAGUGUUUAAUGAAAGGGCAAUCUCUUUUUUUUCACUUCUUUUUGAAAAGCACCUUUGAAAUCUUCAUCUUUACUCUUAUAAAGAGCUGGGUUGGUGGUUAUCUGUUCACCCUCAGUGAGGUUGCCCCUUGAGUCGUCCAGAAAUUGUUGCUCGGAAAUAGUCUGUUCACAAUCUUUUGACCAGGGUUUAAAAUUUUCGUGAAAUUCUGUUGAAAUUUUGAAGAAAUACGGUCAAAAAUUCAGUCUAGAUCAAAUAAAAUAUGAAAUUGGUCAAAAUGAUUUAAAAAAUCCUGGACGUUUUUGUAUGGUGUGAAAUUUGAAACCCUGCUUUUGAUUAGUUCAUCUGAUUGAUAUAUAUUUUGAGAUAUUUUUUUAUUUUGCACAAAUUUAGCGACUAUGAUGACACGAUCGUCUGAAAUUCAAACAAUUUACGCACGGAAAUUUUAAUUCCGUGGCAACCGCCAGCAUUCGCAAAAGAAGAAUGCAAACUUGCAAACUUCACCCUUCAAAUGUUCUGUAUUCUAUUAUCACCCUCGCUGCCUCCUUCCGUCCUUGGGUGCUCCAGUCGUUCUCCUUCCCCACGCGCGUUCAUCCGUCGCCGCCGCGUCCAACCACGACCAGAGCAACGUGGGGACGCCAAGGCGUGAGCAAUGGCGGCGGGGGACGAGGAGCUGGAGUCGCUGCUCCGGAACUUCCACCGCUUCUCCCAGGUCAGCAGCACCCGCACCGCACCUCACCGCGGCAUCCCUCCCUCCCUACCACCGUCCCGCCGCUCCCCCGACUCGUUCGUUCGCCCUUCCAGUUCGUUUCGGGUCUUAGGUUCGGUUUGAUGCCACGUUCUGGUUCCGAUGGAGCUCACCCUAGUCGUCGUAGCAAUCGCCUGAACCUUCCGUGCUCGGCUCAGGUGAAUUGGAUGAUGAAAUGCCUGCGAGAUGGCGCGUGUCGAACUGAAUAGAUAAUUCUCCGGCGACAUUUGCGCAAUCGAGGGAAUUCACGUAGUAGGCCGUCCAUCUUCUGUGCCUAUUUUGUUUUUAACUUUUGAUCUUCCGGUUGGAUGCCAUGCUUGGCCAAUGCUGUGGACCGUGGUGGUUAAUUGGUUGGUUAUGCUGAAGAAUGUCUCGUCGUAUUGAUCAUUGAGAGAUGAUUUUGGUGGGGGGGAUUCCACACUAGUUCAGCCUCAGUGCUCGAUUCUCACUGUAGGGCUCGAAUCCCCUGCAAUCGAUUUCUAGAAUUGGGAUCCCAAGUGCUCAGCAAACCAAAAUAUAUGGGUUGUCUGCAUGGCAGGAGCGUGCUUCUGUUGCAAUGUUUACUGCUUCCAGAGCUCAAGUGUUGCCAUAGAUGUUCAAUCUACCAGUUUUAAUUGCCUAAAGAUGAAUGAUGACCUAUAUCCAAGCAUUUUUCUUAUAGUGUGUUGAUUUUCUUUUCUAUUGUGUGUUCACUGGUUCCUUGGUUUUGAACAGGGUUAUAAAGAUGCACUAAUGGAGGCCCAGGCUUUAAGGGUGGAUUGCAACUCUGAAUCCAAGAAGCGUGAAGCUCUUGAGUCGCAUAUUGCAGAUCUCAAUAGAGGUUAACUGAUGUUUCUGCGUUCUUCCGCUGUUCAGCUUCAGUUUGUUGUUUUCUGUUAAUGUAUAUAGCGUAGUAGGCGAUGAUUUUCAUUGCUUGCUCAGGUUGAAACAAGAAUUGAGUUGGGCUUUUUUCUGUCGUGCAGAUAAUGAGCGAUUAAGAAGGCUGUACACUGAAACUUUAUUCAAGUUCACCAACAAGGUAGGUGGCUACUUACUAUAAUGCUAUGUGCAGUUACAUGAAGGCUGAUGAAUUUCUAAUACUAAGAUGAUGUCACGAUUAAAUAUAUUUUUUCAUCAUCCGACGUUUUUCAUUGUGGGGUCAUCAUCCGAGUUAACUAUUUGAUACAGAUACUCAGUUGUAUUGAUGGUAUCAGCCUGAGUUCAAUGCUCUCCUUUUUCACCUGUGAGAUUGAGUUGAUGGAAGGACUAUAGUGUCUUGUCCUUGGGCUUCAGUGUACUCUUUUUUCAUGGAAAAACAGGUUGAACGCGUGUUGUGGAGCUGUUGAUUCCGAUUGCCAUUCAUACUAUAUUAACAUCUGGAUUGUAAACUUCUUAUGUUGGAAUUUGGAAGUUGAUAAUAGAUCAAGUUUAAUGAGAGAUCAAGUGCUAGGUUUUAUAUGCAGCAUUAAUCAUAUCUGUCAAACUCUGGACAAUUUUUUAUGUGCUUGCUAUUAUUCAGAUGAAAUUUCACACAGAAUCUCAAAAUCUUAAGGAAGAAUUGGGGAAAGCAAAUAGCAGGUUGCUAUCCAUGGAAGAGGUAGUUAACUGCUUUCCAAGUUUUCAGCUAAUCCCUUAAAUUAAUCUAACAAAUCUUUACUUCCUACAGGAGCAUAAGAGGGAAAUCGAACAACUUAAGCAUGCCAAUGAAAUGAGCUGCAAUACCCUGGAGAGCAAGCUCAGGUAACAUAAAACCCAUUUCAUGGGAGGGGACAGGUUACUAUUGGCAGAAGCAAGAGGUUCAAAUCAAAUUAUCCUGUUGAUUGUUUGCAAAAACUGAAAGACCUAACUUUCACUACAACCAGUUGUGCCCUUGUUCAGCAAGCUACCGAUGAAGCUGUGAUAAACCAACUCAAGUCGGACCUGGGAGCUCAUAAAGCGCAGGUCGACAUGUUAAAUAGCAGGUUGGAGCAGGUCACUGCUGAAGUGCAUAUGCAGUGUAAUGUUCUAGACUUCGGUUCCAUCCUGAAGAUUGUUCCUCCUUUGGAUUAUUACCUCUUACCUCCCAUGAUGGAAAUACAUCCUGGCCCCUGGUACAGAUAAAAACGAUCUGCAGGAUUUGAACGAUGUGAUUAUGCUGGAACAGGAGGAGAAAAAUGGCAUGCAAAGGAAGCUUAAAAAGGCAGAAGACGAGUGUAAGUUUAAUCUGGACUGGUGAACUGAAGAAACAACUUUGAUUAUUCAAAAAUCAAAACACACAGUUCCCCAACAUUUUUUCAGCGUUCAUUCAUGUUUGAUUGUAUCAGUCGACCAACAUGCUGACAGCAUUUCUCAUCUUGUUAUGAUCCAGUGAGGGUCCUGAAGAUGAAGCAGGCAGAGCAGCAAAGGGACUCGGUGUCGGUCCAGCACGUGGAGACGCUGAAGCAGAAGGUCAUGAAGCUGCGGAAGGAGAACGAGUCCCUGAAGCGGAGGCUGGCGAGCUCCGAACUCGACUGCUCCUGAGAGCCCGCCGCCGCUCCCCUGCUCCCAGGUUCCGAACCCUUCGCCGUCAUCGUCGUAGCCAUGUACAUUCUCACACACGACAUCUCACCAUCAGAGCUUCUUUCUUUGUUGAGAAGAAAACAUCACACGGUCACUCAUACCAUCAGAGGUUAUAUACAGUUAUUGGUCUUGUGAUUACUAAAUGAAAUGUAUGUUUUGGAAAGAGCUAUGCACUGUGCCAAUGUGCCAUGUCACCAUGUGCAUACUUGCCUGUUCACUGCAUAGUCUUCUCCUGUCCUUUUUGGUAGCUGGUAGAGAGUGUUCUUCUCAGAGGGUUGAUUAAUUGAUUGCAAGUGCUACUUACAGCUUUUCAUGUGCCGGGGUAGAAUGCAAAUCGCUGCAUUGACUGUAUUCGAUCUCCACCCUGCUCGUUUCACCCACCAACGAUCCCGACCCCCCCCCCCCCCCCCCCAACUGGCAACGGAUCGAAAAUCAGUACUGUUGCUGUGUUGAGUUAGGCUCGGACAUUACUAUGGCCAUUCACUGGCCUUGCCUACUUCGCAGGCUCAAAGCCUGCGCGCUGCAGCUUCUGUUGAUUGCUGCUGUGUAGGAGUACUACUUUUUCUCCGUUUCGUAAUUCCUCAAAUAGGCCCAUUAUCGUCUGUUUUCCCGGCCCGGCCCAAGCCCGCUGUCUGUACGAAUUGAUUCUGCAGCCAGCCAGCCUGGCACCGCGCUCGCGUCGCGCGGUCGCGCCUUCUCUCUUCUGCAGUUGUGCAGCUUUUCCCUCUCCCAUUCCGUGCUUCCUUCUUCUUCUUCCGCACGCCUCCUCCUCCCCUCCUCGCUCUGCUCGCUAAACCUCGCCUUUCCGCUCGAUCGAGUCUCCUUAAACCCUAGGAGCCAGGCGUCUCCCUCUUGUCUCUAGCUCGUUCCUCUGCUUCCCGCACCAAUGGCGCGCGACGUGCACGACCGCGCGCUCUCGCCCGACGAUCAGCGACGCGGGUGCUCGCAGCCGCAGGGCCCGCUCCCUCCGCCUCCGCCGCUCGGCUCCUCCCGUCCCAAACGCCUCGUCGAGGACGACGACGACGACGAAGACCAGCUCCUCCUGCCUCCGCCUCCCCCGCUCGGCUCCUCCCGCCCCAAACGCCUCGACGACGACGACCGGCUCCUGCUGCCUCCACCUCCGCCGCUCGGCUCCUCCCGCCCCAAACGCCUCGUCGAGGACGAGAACGACGACGACCGGCUUCUGCUGCCUCCACCUCCCCCGCUCCGCUCCCCCCGCCCCAAACGCCUCGUCGAGGACGACCGCCUGGAGGCCGACUCGCCGCGCAACAACGGUACGCCACGCGGACACGGGAGGUCGCCGGAGAACGUGUACGCGCCGCUCCUUCCCGCUCCCCCUGCCGGCUCGUCCCGCCCCGGGCCCGUCGUCUACCGCCUGCUGGAGAGCGAGUCCCCGCCCGACGGGAGGAGCCCCAACCCUGGAGGUGUCCUGGGGGCGCCGCCAUCACCGAGGAGGUCGGCGUCCCGGUCAAACGACUGGGAGAAACGACGCCGCUCACCGCCCCGGAGGUCGCCUUCUCCCGUGCGGCACAAGCGGACGCGCAGGGACGACGACGGGGACGCUGGCCGUGGCCCCCGCAGCCCACCGCGCGGCGGGAGGUGAGGCUUCGGGGGACGCAUUUCCGUUUGAUUUUAUUUUUCCGGCUUGCCGCGGCCCGGGUCCUUCUUUCCCGUACGGUUCUAAGCUCAUUAGUGCGAGUGUUUUUGAGGUUUUGUUUUCGCAUUGCUUGGUGCAGGUACGAUCGCGAUGGAGGCAGGGGGAGGUCUGCUGGGCAUGGCGCGCAAGGUGAGCUGACUCUGAUGAGCUUUCUUCACGUCUUGGUCUCGUGCAUUUCCUACCUAAUUCGUGCUCUUCUUGUGAUUGACGACCGCGAAACUGAGGUUUGAGUGUUCUCGACCGUGUGGUGUGUGUGGUAUGUUUUCUGGUAGUUGUUGCUUUGGGAGUUUGGGAAUGGAUAGCUUCGACACUAGACUCGUUGAAUCCACGCUGUCGCACCUUGCUCAUCCACCUUCGCCUAGAAACAUGCGGGUUUGCUUUGAGUUCAAUGGAAAACUUAUUUACCAUGCGUCACUCUUGUGAACCAAAAUACUCUGUAUCUAGUUGAGCUCUGUAUCUCUUGGAGCACUCACCUACAGCUACGGCCUUUGAUCCCAAGGAUGCGACACAAGGGGUGUGGGGGCCAUCUGACGGAGUUGUACAGUUUGUCAGCUCUGCCCCCAAUCUGAUGAUAUACAUUCCACACUUUUAUCUAUUGUACAACUGAAAUUUGUGUUGUCGCUUCCUAAGCUAAACAACUGCUCCAUCAUCAGGACUGAUAGUUGGUUCCUAUGCGCUUGGUAACUAGGAGUCAACAUAACUACUUGUUAGUGUAAUAAAUAAGAAUGAUAUGAGAUUGUUGUGUACUGGUGUCAACAAUAUAUGUUCUGCUCCUUCUGGAUUUACAUGUUCUUUCUAUAGAAUCCAAGGAUAAGGGAAUUAAUCUGUUACACUACUAGCCUGCUCAUGCAGAAGCUUACAGCCUUUCAUGUUUUUUCUGACCAUUUAUUUACUACAAAAAGUUCGUACUGUAGAAAUUUUAACACUUCUAUCUGUUAUUCCAGAUGGGCCGGACUCUGGCUAUGGUGCUUUCAGUAAUGUUCAUGGCACCGAAAGGUAUUACAAAUUCGCUGCCUUGCGAAUUGUGAUAGGUUUGGUCUGCUUAGUGUGUCAGUUACUGUUGGUUCCUAAGUUCCCAAGUCAUGUGUAUUUUCUUAAUCUUCCUCUUUCUAUUCGGCCUCUUUAUUCCAUUUUGUUUCCCUGAUAGAUGAUUCUUGAAUGCGACCUUAUAUGAUUCUGCAUCUUUUCAGGAAGGGGUUAAUGACAUACAAACAGUUUUGCCUAUUUCUUGAAGAUGAUGUUUCACCAGGUGAAGCUGGGAGCAGGUAAUCAAUACAAACAGAUAAUAAGUUGAAUUUGAUCUGUACGUUUGUAGUAACCUCCACUGAUCAGCAGUUCAGCACAACCUAAUUGGUUAAUUAUACCUCUUUUUCCUUGUUUAACAAGGUACCAAGAAUACAAGACAGCAUACAUCACUACACAGAAACGUGCCUAUUUCGAUCUCCAUAAGGAUGAAAUUCGGUAUGUCUAAAUGUUAUCAUAUAGCUGUGUUUAUGCUGUUAAGGAAGUAAUGGUUUGGCUGGCUCUUUUUCUACUGUCAUUGCAGGUUGAAAGAGAAGUACCACCCGACAAACUUGCUAUCUGUCAUUGAAAGGUGAACUGUUUGGUGCAUGUCUUUCUGAAAAAAAGCUUGCUUACCAUCAUAAAAAGCUGGUACUCGGAUAGGUGUUGAAUAGCAUAGCAUCGGAAAAUGACUAUAACACGUCAUAACUAAAUGGAACAGUUGUUCUUAUUAUUUCUUAAUUUAUUAUGCCUGCUUCCAUUUCACUUUUAGUUGAGCUUCUCUUGUUAGUGGUUCCUGAUCACUGGCAUACCUUAUUUUGUUAACUCAGGAGGAAUGGAUUCUGUAAGGCUGCAGCGAAGGAUUUAAUUCUUGAUUUGCGAACUGGGGUUUUGGACUGGUGAGAUGAAUUUAUAAUUACAUCUAAUUUAUGCUAUGAAUCCUUUAGUAUUAUGUUAAUUUUUCUGAUAUCAGUAUUACCUUGGUGUAGUGGUCCUGGAAUGACCGCUGGUGCAGCAAGUAAAUUAGGAAAUAACAAUGCUGGAAGCUCUGACAAUGAUGAAGAUUAUGGUAGCAAGAGAAGAAAGAAUAGAAGAGGUCCCCAAAAAGAACCUGAACCACUUUCAACUGCUCCUAAAGCUCAUCCAAUAAGUUCAAAGUAUCGCCGAAUUCAAACUGAUAUAGUUCAAACUCUAGCUUUAGUGAAAAAGCUUGACGCAGAGAAGGGUAUUGUUGGAAACAUCCUAUCAACCAGUGAUCAUGGCAUGUCAGAUGUUGACAGAUCACAUGUUGGGUCCGUAGGGCCUAUAGUUAUUGUCCAGGGCUUAAGUACUGUCAAGGGCCUUGAAGGUGUUGAGCUCCUCGACACUCUCCUUACUUACUUAUGGCGCGUCCAUGGUGUCGAUUACUAUGGCAUGUGUGAGAUGAGAGACGCAAAAGGUUUUCGUCAUGUGAGAGAUGACAACAAGAGCACCAUUGCGUUUAACAUCAGUGCUGCUGAUUGGGAGAAAAAACUAGAUUCCUUCUGGCAUGAAAGACUGAUGAAUGGAAAGGAUCCUCUAGUUGUAUUGGCAUCCCAGGACAAAAUUGAUGCAGCAACUGUUGAGACUCUGGAACCUUAUGUCAAAAAAAUUAUGGAUGAUAAGUUUUCCUGGAAGUAUGGGUGUGGAGCCUUGGGAUGUAUUAAAAUUUUCCAUGCUCCUGAGUUUGUUCACAGGCAUUUAAAACUCAAGCAUCCUGAGUUGGUCUCUGAGUUGACUUCGAAAGUUCAAGAGGAUAUCUAUCGCCAAAAUUACAUGAAGUAGGUAUCAAUAUCACACAACUAAAAUUUUACUGGUUUCAAAUGUGUCAAAAUGUGAUGUUUUGCCUAUUAUUUCUUUUUGAUGCAGUGAUCCAAAUGCCCCAGGUGGAAUACCAGUUAUGCAGCAAUCUGCACCAGUAAGAAUAUAUGCUUCUCAGUAUUUUCUUAUUUUUAUGAUAGAGAGAAACACUUUGAUGCUUCCCUACAUAAAUUGUAAAUAACAAUCUGUGUGAUUCCUAGUUUAUCCUUGUGUUUGUGGGUGUACAUCGAAGACUUUUUAUUCCUUUUACAAGAGGUUCCCUAGAAGAUUGAUUCUUGCUUCUUGUUGUAUCUUCAUCAUCUACAUUGUCCAUGUCUGACUGAUAAAUAAAUCAAUAGAAUAUCAAUCUGCAGUUUGUUGUGCUCACUAGUUAUCAUUUGUGUCUUUAUUGUACAUCUUUAACUGUAUGGUUUCACAUUUUAGACUAGAACCUAGACUGAUUGAUGUUCUCUCCUUUUGCUGUUAAUAUCUGGUAUGCAUAUAUACACAUCAUAUUGCUUUUUAUUGGAUUAUAUUCUAACUAGACUGGCUGAAAUGGAUUUAUUGACCUAAUGCGCUCUGUCUACUAGAUUUCUGCAUAUAUAAUGUACUCCCUCCGAUCCAUAAUAAGUGUCUCAGAUUUUCUACUAACUUAGUACAAAGUUGUACUAAUUCUGAGACACUUAUUAUUGGAUCGGAGGGAGUAUUACUAAGCAGAUUUAGCGAUUUAUCAGACUGUCAUGGAAUACUAAAAUUGGACGCUUCGUGUUUGAUAGAUAAGAAUUAAAGAAGCUAUGGAUUCCAGUCACGUGAACUUUCAUGGUGACCAGUUUUUACAAGAAGAAUAUUACUCCCUCCGUUCCAUAAUUCUUGUCUCAAAUUUGCCCAAAAAUGGAUGUAUCUACUCCUAAAAGGUGUCUAGAUACAUGUAAGAUUUCGACAAGAAUUAUGAAACGGAGAGAGUACAUUUUUUUCAAAGUAAAUUUUUAAGAGUAUAAUAUUUGCAUUUUGCGACCUGCAAAACUUCUGAUGUCCCGUAUCUUGUGAUACUAUUCAGGUUUUCAUCGCAACCUCGAUAACCUUUUCGCUUUUGUUUUGUGUUGCUUUUUUUUUGGUCAUUGUUGCCCAGGAAAAUUACAUCCAAAGCAACUGUGAUGUUUAUUACAAUGCUAAAUCUGCAAUACUAAUAUCUUCGUUGAUACCCCAGAACAGAGACAGGAUCAGACAAAUACCUGAUGAGCAGAUAUCAGGCGCUUUUGACUUGCAUGGUUUAAAUGCCCCAUUUGCACCUGAAUCCCUCCCUCCGCCACUUCUAAUCCCUGUGCCUGGUGCUGGGUACGUAGGUUAUGUUAUUCAAGUCAACUAGUAAUUCAGUUACGAAGUCCAGGUGGAACACUAAUGUUGGGUGUUCUGUAUUUUAGCCCAUUGGGUCCAUUUGUUCCUGCGCCACCAGAGAUGGCCAUUCAGAUGAUGGAAGAGCAAAGACCUCCAAGACCAAAUGGUGCUCAGCAUGGGAAGCCACCUUUGAUGCCAAGACCAAUGAUGCCCAUGUAUCCACAUUUUCCGCGCGACCCUCGUCCUCUGCGAAAGUAAGUGGAAUAGUAGUAUUCCUCUAUUUCCUUAUGUUCUACUAAGUUCCAUAAGCCCAUACCUUUUUUUUUUCCUGCACCAUAAUCUUUAUCAAACUGUUUGAUGCUAUAGUAAAGUUAGCAUUCACCACUUGCACAUUCUACUCUCUGCUAGUUUUAUUUUCCAAAAAAAAUCCUCUGCUAGUUUUGCACCAUGCAUUUUUGUUGUUAUAAUUCUACUUUGUUACUCACUCUUGUCGAAGCAAUUUUUUUAAUAAAAAAAACUUGAUUCUAUUUCCGUCCUGCACAUAAUUCAUUCCAUGAGUAUCUCCUAACUGGAGUCCAACCGUGCCCGCAGUUACGAUGAUCUCGAUGCUCCUGAUGAAGAAGUCACUGUCAUUGACUACAGAAGCCUGUAGAGCGUCUCUUGUCAGAGUCAAAUCUGCUGAUAGUGCCCAUAGGGCCAUAGCUAAGUUCCUCCGGGUAGCAUAACCAACUGACAUGAAAUUUGAACUCUCUGAGGUUCUGACUGAGAGGUGCCUCAUCAUUUCCUGCAAUACCCUCCGCUCAAACGAGCAAGCAUCCGUGCCAUCUGUCGAAAUGCUGAUACUGAUCCUGACUCUGCCAUGAACUGGCAUUACAUACUCUGGCUCGGUGUAUUUGGGCCAGGAUAUUUGGCGGUGUUUACCUACAGGAGGCCCACUUUACUUGGGUUUGCAGCCCAAACGCCACUGGUUAAGUAGCUUCUGCUAUCUUCUAAACCUACACAUGGGCCCACACUUUAUCUCUUGCUUCAUGUAGGGUUUGUGUUCUAUGUUAGAUUGCACGCUUGUAGCAGGGGGUGCAUGGCAUUUGGAUUCUAUACAUUUUUCUUUGCCUGUCGUUUUCUCUCCAUUCUCUUUUAUUUUGUUUGGAAGAAAGUUGCACACGUACAUAUCCAGUAAUAUGUAUUUCUAACACAUAUCUCCAUUGCAUUCCUCCUUCCUCCCUCUCGAAAUCAUUUAUUUCUCGAUUUUACCAAUAGCAUUUUUUUCACAUACAUGAUUCCAUUUUACAUAAUUGAGAUGUGGACAUAUUUGUUGUGGACUUUGCUCGAUCUACAAAAUAACACGAUCAUUUACAACUUAACUAGUCUUGGGAAGAGAGUGUGCACAUGAAUGUCAUCCUAGCCCAACGGUGUCUUAAAGUCGGGACGUGAGGAAGAGAGGGCAAGAAGAAGGAAGCGGGAAGAUGAAGAAGGAUAAGGAAAAGGGAAAGAGGGAUGACCGACGAAGUCAGUGGACAUUGUUGGCAGCAAAGACCUUCGUGACGUUGAGAAGAUGGGUAAUGAGCUCAUGGCUCAGCUUGGAGGAAGGCCAUAUGGUUGGCAGGAUGAUACCUCGGCUCGAGGAAUAGAAGGGCGACAUAGUAAGGAGAAGAACGAUGGGGUUAGGUGAGAGGGAGGAGGAACACAAGGGGCACCAUACGGAAGUAGUCCGUGAAAUGAGUUCAGACGAUGGGAAAUUGUUUGUGGAGUACAAAAGUCACACUCGUGUUAAUUUUUAUUCUGAUGCUUGAGCUAAUUUCUCCGACCAUUGUAAUUUUAAAUCAAGUUCAGGCUUGUUUUAAUUCGCAAGAAACUAGAAUCAAUAUUGACUCUCCGUAGAAAUAACAAUAAAGUAAAUGUUGGAGAAUACAAUGCAAGCUUCUAGAGUGUUCUCAAUAUUACAAGAAAGAAGACAUUACUAUGGAAUACUCUAGAAUAUAAAAUAAAUAAAAGAGGUAACCUUCUAGUGUUUAGAUAUGCAUGAAGAAGCUUUGGAAUAUUCUAGAAUAGGAGUUUAAAAUAAAUAAAUAGGAAACCUUGUAGUAUCUAGAUAUUUAUGUAGAAGUGUGUGGAAGGCUUUAGAUAUUUUGUAUCAAUGGCUAAGAUUUUGACACAUUUCAAAGAUCCAAUGGCCAUGUAGUCCUAUAAAUAAAGGCCCUUGCCUCACACCUUGUGUAGUAGAGAAUAAAAGAAGUGAAGAAGGUGGAGAACAAGGUGUGAGCAAGUGUAAGGUGUGUAUGCUCUCUCUUGUACUAAUAUUCCUAAAGCAAUAUAGUACUACUUUGUUCAUAUAAGUCUCCCGGUUAGGCCUUGUUAUUUCUAAGUACUUAGUGCAUAUAAGUUGUGAUUUAACGUGAGCGGAUUCGCCCGGAAUCACAACGGUCUUGUUUCAACGUGAGUGGCAUAGCCGUCCGGAUUCAAGACUUGCUUUAACGUGAGUGGCUCUGCCGCCCGGAAGCUUGCACUAAGUAAGUAGAAAUAAAAAGGGACUAAUUAACUACACCAAAGUAGUUGGUAUAGGUGAAUAGGCCCUCUCGUAGUGUGUUAGGUCCACCUCGAAUUCUCUACAGUUGGUAUCAGAGCAGGCGGUCCGGGACCGUCAUUUGGAGGAAGAGUUGUAAGCACGGGGUGCUUGCUUUGUUCGGUGCAACAAGAAGGCGCUGAGGGGAGACUCUGCUGGUGCACAGUCUAGGACUGUGAAGCUGGUCCGGGACCAAAGCUUACUUGACGCUGGGCGCAAGUCACCAUGGCGGAUCUUGCUAGCUCAAGCAGCGGGAUCAGGAAGCUUAAUAGCCACAACUAUGGCUAUUGGCAGACCUGCAUGGAGUCCUACCUACAAGGUCAGGACCUAUGGGAGGUCGUUGCGGGCACCGAAGCAUUUCCUCUAGAGAAUGCUGAUGCCUUGCGGAAAUGGAAGAUCAAGUCAAGGAAGGCCAUGUUUGUAUUGAAGACGACCAUCGAAGAGGACCUAUUGGAGCACAUCCGUGAUGAGAAGACACCUAAGGAGGCAUGGGAGACUUUGGCGAAGCUAUUCUCAAGGAAAAAUGAAGCACGGCUCCAGCUCUUGCAAAAUGAGCUCGCAGGUAUCUCACAAGGCAAUCUAUCCAUCAGUCAAUAUUUUUCGAAGGUGAAGUUUAUUUGCCGUGAGAUAUCCCAACUUGCCCCGGAUGAGAAGGUGAGCGAGACUCGGAUGAAGAGAAUCAUCAUCCACGGUCUUAGACCCGAAUACAAUGGGUUUAUGGCUGUGGUGAUGGGAUGGCCUACUCCACCUUCAGUAGUGGAGUUGGAGAAUUUAUUGGUAAAUCAAGAGGAGUUAGCUAAGAAGAUGGGGAGCAUAACCAUAAAGGAAGAAGAGGAGGCACUUUUCACUAAGAAGAAGAGCCCACACCAAAAACAAUGGAAUCCCAAGUCUAAGUGGACAGAAGGUGGGAAAGAGCAUCCAAAGGAGAGAAGCAACUCUUCAGGGGGAGACCAACGAGAAAGACAAGGACCAAAAUGGUACGAGAAGAAUGCAAGGAGACCAAGUGAUGGAUGCUUCAACUGUGGCAAGGCAGGUCACUUUGCUCGAGAAUGCCGAUUUCCAAGGAGGUCAAAUGAUGGAUGCUCCAAUUGUGGUAAGAAAGGUCACCUUACUCGAGAAUGUCGAUAUCCAAGAAGGCGUUAUGAAGGGAAUGUGGCCACCACAAAAGAGAAAGAAGAGAUCACUCUAGAAGCAUCCAUGAGCGAAGAAGAAUGGGACGCCGAAGCUGGAUACUCUCAAGAGGUUGACAUAGAAGACUUGGAAGAAGACAUGGAGGUGCCAGCCCUUGCAAUGGAUGAAGAAGAGUUGGAGGAAGAUAUGGAGGCACCAGCCUUUGCGAUGGAUGAAGAAGAGUUGGAGGAAGACAUGAAGCCACCAGUCUUUGCAACGGAUGAAGAAGAGUUGGAGGAGGACAUGGAGGCGCCAGCCCUUGCAGCAAUCAAGGAUCCAAAAAUCAACUAUAAAGAUGAUUGGAUCGUUGAUUCUGGGUGCUCCAACCAUAUGACUAAUGAUGACAACAAGCUGCAAGAUAUGACCGAGUACAAGGGAGGAAAAAUGGUGCUGACAGCUAACAACUCCAAGCUAUCGAUUUCCCAUGUUGGAAAGACAGCCGUUCCAAGGUAUGGCCCUCAACAACUCCAACUUGAGAGAGUCUAUCACGUCCCAGGCUUGAAGAAGAAUCUGUUGUCAGUACCUCAACUGACAGCAGAAGGGAAGUAUGUUCUGUUUGGUCCACAAGAAGUAGCAAUCUUCAGAAGGCUCAAGGUGAUCGGCACACCCAUCAUGGAAGGGAAAAAGAGAGACUCACUCUUUGUGCUCUCUGCUGAGUCAGCAUACGUAGACAAGACUCGGAAGAAUGAGACGGCUGAUCUUUGGCAUGCGCGGCUUGGACACGUCAGCUACCACAAGUUGAAGGAGAUGAUGGAGAAGCAUGUAGUGAAGGGGCUUCCUGAUCUUGAUAUCCGUACAGACAUGGUCUGUGCUGGAUGUCAGUAUGGCAAGGCCCACCAAUUGCCAUACAAGGAGUCGCAGCAUCAGUCAAAGGUACCUCUAGAGCUCAUACACUCAGAUGUCUUUGGCCCAGUCAAGCAAAUAUCACUUGGAGGCAUGAGAUACAUGGUGACCUUCAUCGACGACUUCUCAAGGUACGUUUGGGUAUAUUUUAUGAAGGAGAAGUCUGAGACCUUUAUGAAAUUUAAGAAAUUUAAGGAUAUGAUAGAAGGUGAACUCGAGUAUAAGAUACGGUGCCUACGCACUGACAAUGGGAGAGAAUAUUUAUCCAAUGAGUUCACCAUCUAUCUCAAGAAAAAUAAGAUAAAAAGGCAGUUAACUUGCCCUAAUACUCCACAACAAAAUGGAGUAGCGGAGCGCAAGAAUCGUCACCUUGCGGAAACUUGUCGGAGUAUGUUGCAUGCCAAAAAUGUUCCUGGAAGAUUCUGGGCUGAGUGUAUGAGGACUGCAGCUCAUGUGAUUAAUAAGCUACCACAAGUGAGGUUGGGGUUCAAAUCACCACAUGAGAAGCUUUGGAGGAUGAAACCAGCCAUCAGCCACCUCAAGGUAUUUGGUUGCGUAUGCUAUAUCUUUGUGCCAGAUCACCUAAGAACCAAGUUUGAAAAGAAGGCGAAGAGGUGCAUCUUUGUUGGUUACGAUGAUGCUCGAAAAGGAUGGAGGUGUUGUGAUCCAACCACAGGUAAAUGUCACACCUCAAGGAACAUUGUGUUCGAUGAAGCUUCUUCAUGGUGGUCCCCUAAGAAAGAAGAGAUUCCUGAAUCACCUGACGUGGAGGAGGUUAUAGAAGAAGAAAGAGAUCAGAAGUUAGAAACCCCAAGUGAAGGAGAAAGGAGCUCACCAAGUAAGACCAAGAGUCCGUGGAAGACUGGCAUACACCAACCUGAAGAGCCACAAACCGAGGAGCAUGAUCAAGAACUUCGAAGAUCAACAAGACCUAGGAAGCCCAAUCCAAGGUACGCUAAUGCUGCUCUUGCCGAUGAGUCUUUACCUAUUGAGCCAUCUUCCUAUGAAGAAGCAGCACGAGGCCCUGAGUGGCAGAAGGCGAUGGAAGAAGAGAUUAAGGCACUAAAGGAAAACCAAACAUGGGACUUAGUGCCAAAGCCAAAGGAUGUGAAGCCAAUAUCCUGCAAAUGGGUCUACAAAGUGAAAACCCGAACAGAUGGCUCAAUUGAAAGGUAUAAAGCUCGACUUGUGGCACGAGGUUUCUCGCAGGAGUAUGGACUGGAUUACGAAGAAACAUUCAGUCCGGUGGCAAAAAUCACAACAGUUCGAGUCUUGCUUGCAUUGGCUGCCAGCAAGUCUUGGGAGUUGUGGCAGAUGAAUGUCAAGAAUGCCUUUCUGCAUGGAGAACUUGACAAGGAGAUUUACAUGGAGCAGCCAAAGGGGUUUGAGAGCAAGAAAUACCCCGAGCAUGUCUGCAAACUAAAGAAGGCACUCUACGGGCUAAAGCAAGCACCAAGAGCAUGGUACGGAAAGAUCGGUGAGUUCCUAGUACACAAUGGCUUUAAAGUUGCUCCAUCAGACUCUAGUUUAUUUGUGAUGGCCAAGGAAGGAAGACUAGCAAUAGUUCUAGUCUAUGUUGAUGACUUGAUCAUCACGGGAGAUUACUCCGAGGAGAUAGAAAGGACAAGGGAAAAUCUCUCCGUGAGAUUUCAAAUGAAGGAACUUGGUGAGUUAGGACACUUCCUUGGACUUGAGGUGGAGCACACUAAGAAUGGGAUAUUCUUAGGCCAACAAAAGUAUGCGAAAGACCUUCUUAAGAGGUAUGGGAUGCUUGACUGCAAACCUAUUUCCACUCCUAUGGAUCCUAACGCAAGACUUCAAGAAGACAAAGAAAAGAACUUGGAGGAUGCAACCAUGUAUCGGCAACUGGUCGGGAGUCUUAUCUAUCUGACACUUAGUCGGCCAGAUAUUUCCUAUGCCGUUGGAGUGGCAAGCCGAUACAUGAGCACACCAAAGAAGCCUCACCUUGAUGCAAUAAGGCGAAUACUCAGGUAUGUCAAAGGCACCUUAAAUUAUGGCAUCCUAUAUAAGAAAACAAAAGAAUGCCAGGUUAUUGGUUACUGCGACGCCGACUAUGCCGGAGAUUGUGAUACACGGAGAUCAACCACUGGAUAUCUCUUCAGUCUUGGAUCGGGAGCCAUAACAUGGUGCAGCAAAAGGCAACCUACAGUGGCACUGUCAAAUACUGAAGCAGAAUAUCGAUCAGCGGCAGCGGCAGCACAAGAAAGCACCUGGCUUAAACAAUUGAUGGAAGACCUUCAUCAAACUCCAAAAGAUCAGGUAUGGAUUUUCUGUGAUAACUUAUCCACCAUAAGGCUAGCAGAAAAUCCUGUCUUCCGUGCAAGGACAAAGCACAUAGAGGUGCACUACCACUAUAUCAGAGAAAAGGUCCUUAAGGGGGAAAUUGAGAUGGUGCCAACAAAGACAGAAGACCAGACUGCAGAUAUCCUCACCAAGAGUCUCAACAAAUCAAAAUUCGAGAAGUUUCGAGAAGCUCUUGGCAUGGUCACCAAAGAAGCUUUGCAUUGAGGGGGAGUGUUGGAGAAUACAAUGCAAGCUUCUAGAGUGUUCUCAAUAUUACAAGAAAGAAGACAUUACUAUGGAAUACUCUAGAAUAUAAAAUAAAUAAAAGAGGAAACCUUCUAGUGUUUAGAUAUGCAUGAAAAAGCUUUGGAAUAUUCUAGAAUAGGAGUUUAAAAUAAAUAAAUAAAUAGGAAACCUUGUAGUAUCUAGAUAUUUAUGUAGAAGUGUGUGGAAGGCUUUAGAUAUUUUGUAUCAAUGGCUAAGAUUUUGACACAUGUCAAAGAUCCAAUGGCCAUGUAGUCCUAUAAAUAGAGGCUCUUGCCUCACACCUUGUGUAGUAGAGAAUAAAAGAAGUGAAGAAGGUGGAGAACAAGGUGUGAGCAAGUGUAAGGUGUGUAUGCUCUCUCUUGUACUAAUAUUCCUAAAGCAAUAUAGUACUACUUUGUUCAUAUAAGUCUCCCGGUUAGGCCUUGUUAUUUCUAAGUACUUAGUGCAUAUAAGUUGUGAUUUAACGUGAGCGGAUUCGCCCGGAAUCACAACGGUCUUGUUUCAACGUGAGUGGCAUAGCCGUCCGGAUUCAAGACUUGCUUUAACGUGAGUGGCUCUGCCGUCCGGAAGCUUGCACUAAGUAAGUAGAAAUAAAAAUGGACUAAUUAACUACACCAAAGUAGUUGGUAUAGGUGAAUAGGCCCUCUCAUAGUGUGUUAGGUCCACCUCGAAUUCUCUACAGUAAAUCAUAAAACGGACGUGACUUAAGCUGACUCUACACAAAUUAGCAUGAAAUUCCAUGGUCACCGUCAAUUUUUUUUUUUGCUACGGAGUACUUGCCGUUCCACAAUUUUUGUCUCAAUUUUGUUCAAAAAUGGAUAUAUCUGUUCCUAAAAAAUGUCUACAUACAUGUAAAAUUUCGACAAGAAUUAUGGAACAGAGGUAGUAACAUAUUUAGAGUUUAUUUUUCGCAUGUCAUUUUACCGUCAAUUUACCAUCUUGAUAAGAUGACUAUCCGUCCGUUCUUUCCCUGAGAAGAUUUUUCCGCGGAACAAAUAUAGUUUCGUGUCCAGGAUUAUUUAGCUAUUUUUCUUUUUUCUAGGAAAGACGCAACCUAUCUCUCUUUUAUUUUAUUUUUUGUGUACGCGGAAAGGCGUUUAUGAACCGCCGAGAGGAGCCAGGCCAUGCCACGCCGCAAAAAAUACAAAAGCAAAUCGAAUAAAAUACAAUAAAAAAGAAAAAAAAGAGUGGGAUGAGAAGGGGAGCCGGGGACGGCAGCCCUAGCCUCCUUUUACUUCAUCGCCUUGCCCCUAUAAAAUCCGCCCGCCUCGCUUCCUCCCCCCAACCACUCCAUCUCCUCGCCGCCAUCGCCUACCAGGAAACCCUCCUCCUCGCCAGAUUCGCUUACUCCCGGUCCGCCGCAUCCCCAACCCGAGGUGAGAACCCCCGUCCUUCCCCUCCCUUCCCUUCUGCUCUGGUUCCCCUCGCCGCCGUUCGUUUAGUCUCGACUCGAUUUCAUCAGAUCCGUCCUCGGUGAGGGAUCCGAUCUGGACGGGUCUCGCGCUCUUAGGCCACCGAUUUGUUGGUUUGUUGCUGGACGUUGUGGGCGAGGCGUGAACUACCUAGCGUUUGGGUGAUUUCGUGGCGCGUGGCGCGUGGCGGAUACUACUCGCUGCUAGGGUUCGUUACGGUCUCGAUUGGGAUUAGAUGCUGCUGUUGUUUCGGUUCAAUACCAGAUAAAAAAAAUCUUGAUAUUAAUGGGCUUUUAGAAACUGUUGUAGUUCAUCUUUUAUUGUUGGUGAGCUAUUGAGUGAGGCCAUACAUAAGUAGUGUGUUAUCUUUUGUUUCUCUGUUUUAGGCAAGCACUCUAUUUCCCAACCUGAGUACCCUAUGUAAUCUAAUGGCAAUGAUACAGAUGUUUCUGGUUGGUUAUUACAAAUUUACAAGCAUUUAUCUGUGUACUGAAGGAAGGAUACAUGUGCCUUAUUGUUUGCAAGUUUGUAUACUGGAACACUGUUUAUAUAUGUACAUUUGGAACUAGUUUGCAAUUUGUUUAUCAGUUUUCCUAUGGGUGAUUAUUCAUCGUUCCAGUUAUGAUUAACUGUUCUGGUAUGAGCUUGCCUGUAUGGAGUGCUACUUCUGAUCCAUGUCCAUUAGAUAUGUGUGAUGUUUGAUGUAGCUAUAAUUGUUAUAAUCAAAUGUGAGUUUCCUAUUAUGCCAUGGCUUUGUUCGUGUUCAUGAGGGCUCUAAACUGUUUUAGCAGACUAGACUAGACCUUCGUGGUCCUUCGGAGACCUGAACUGGAGAGUUGCCCACUAUUGUUUUAUCCAAUUGUCUUCAUUAUACUUGAUUCUGUUGAAUUUUUUUGGUUGUGUGUGCUUUUGCAUUGCAUCUAUAUUUCUGUAGUACUAAGAUCAUUAGUAGAAAUAUCUUGGGACAGCAUGAUUUUGUUGAUGUUGGGUGUUAUUUUCACCUCUGCUCUCUGGAGUGUAAAUUUAUCUGCUGGUGGCAUAUGAAUUGAUAGUAUAAUUCUGUUGUCUUGUUUCUGCAGUUGUGUUAUUCCACAUGUAAAUGUCUCGAUUCUGCUAUUAUGAUGAUACCAACAGUUUAGCAAUUUCUUGAAAUCUCACCUUUGAAUCACCAAUGUUUGUUUGUUCUAAUCCAGGUAGCAGCAGCAUCUGUUUUGCUGCAAUCUGACAAAGUGGAGGGCUUAGAAGGUGAAGCUUCUUUUAUGUCUGAACAAGCAUCGGUUUAUUUGGGAUCAGUUGGAUUGCUGGGAGAGUAUUCUCGUUCAACGAGAAAAAGGCACAAGUUUCUUCUCCCCUGCAUGCAUCAAGAGCCCAUUAGGCUUUCUGGUUCUGAGAGGUCACUUGCCCCUACCAGUGCUAGUCAGCUCACUUUUCUUGAAGGACCAGCAGCUACUCUUUCUUCUGAAUUUUGUCACAUCUGAUAGCAUCUGCCGCAGAAGAAAAGCUUGAUCCAAAAUGGCGCUGCAGAACAUUGGUGCUUCAAACAAGGAUGAUGCCUUCUACAGGUACAAGAUGCCCCGGAUGUUGACCAAAAUAGAAGGCCGUGGUAAUGGCAUCAAGACAAAUAUCGUUAACAUGGUUGAUAUAGCAAAAGCACUUGCCAGGCCUGCUUCCUACACAACCAAGUACUUUGGGUGCGAACUUGGGGCACAAUCAAAAUUUGAUGAGAAGACAGGAAUCUCCUUGGUUAAUGGUGCUCAUGACACGUCAAAGCUUGCUGGUCUUCUGGAGAACUUCAUUAAGAAGUAUGUUCAGUGUUAUGGUUGUGGCAACCCUGAGACAGAGGUCCUCAUCUCUAAGACCCAGAUGAUAACUCUGAAAUGUGCUGCCUGUGGCUUCCUUUCGGAUGUUGACAUGAGGGACAAGCUCACUACAUUCAUCCUGAAGAAUCCACCAGAACAGAAGAAGGGAGGCAAAGACAAGAAAGCUAUGCGAAGGGCUGAGAAGGAGAGGCUCAAAGAAGGCGAGGCUGCUGAUGAGGAGAUGAAGAAACUCAAAAAGGAUGCAAAGAAGAAAGGUGGGUCUUCCAAGGAGAGUACUGCAAAAGGUGUUUCAAAGAAAAAGGCUGGUGGUGGUUCUGAUGAAGAACAUGCAACCUCACCAACUCACAGUAGAGAUGCUGACUUUGCAGCUUCUGCAGAUGAUGACGACGACAAUGAUGUGCAGUGGGCGACUGACACAUCUGCAGAGGCUGCGAAAAAACGCAUGCAGGAGCAGCUGAGUGCAGCAACUGCUGAAAUGGUUAUGCUUGCCACUGAGGAGACAGAGAAGAAGAAGAAACAGACCCUGCAGAAAGAGGCUAGUGCUAAUGGUAACGGGGCAGCAAAGGAUAAAGAUGAUUCCAAUGGCAAUCAGACUGGGGCCAAGGCCACUCCUUAUGAUGAUCUGGUUGAAGAGAUCAAAGCUACCUUGGGCAAUGCCGCCACAACAGCUCAGCUCAAGACUCUGCUGUCCUCCUCAGCCCUGUCCCCCAAGGAAGUGAUGGAUGCUCUCUUUGAGGCGCUCUUUCACGGUGUGGGCAAGGGAUUCGCCAAGGACGUCUUGAAGAACAAGAAGUUCCUCGCUGCUGCAGUGCCUGAUGAAGAUGCUCAGAUGCUCCUACUCCAGACUAUUGAGGCUUUCUGUGGCAAGUGCAGUGCUGAAGCCCUGAAGGAGGUCCCAGUCGUCCUGAAGGCCCUCUACGAUGGAGACGUCCUGGAUGAAGAAACCAUAGUGCAGUGGUACAACGAGGCUGUUGCUGCCGGUAAGAACUCCCAGGUCGUGAAGAACGCCAAGCCAGUGGUGGAGUGGCUCCAGAGCGCCGAAUCCGACGAGGAGUGAAGAUGUACCACUAUAGCCUACUGCUUGCUUGAAGUGUCCUUCGUUUGAGUUUUCAAGUUUCAGUCGUUGUCUUUGGUGUUUUGAGUGUCAGUAUCUGCGUUUGAGUUAUUUGGUUGGUUUUCUGUAUCCAGUCAGUUAAAACACUACUUAUGUCUGGUGUGCGUGUGGUGUUUAUGCUUUCAACUGCCCUUCGAUGAACUACUUACGUUGAAGACAUUUUCUAUGAAAUGUUGUGAUAUAUAGUGCGAGCCAAUUUGUGUUGCAUGUAUUCUGCUGAGAUUGAACGACGGAAAUGGGCGGGACACGCCUCUUUUUUUUUUUUCUUUUUUUUUUUUUUUACAUCAACACGCCUCUUUGUAUCGCUAUUACUGUUAUCCAUCGUUGCCUGACGAAGAAAAGUGCACCCUGGCCUCUAGUCAUAGAGACCCUAUGCGAAGUUGCGAACUGCCUGAGAGAAAUUCAGAAAAUCAUGCUCACACAAUCUUCUGCCGUUCAAGUUGGUGAACCACCGGGUCGGAAUGCCUGCUGGCUGCUGCUGGUGGCGUCGUCAUCUUGCUUGCUGAUGACCCACUGGCGCCUACGGGGUUGUGAUCUUCCUUGCCGAUGAGCAGCUGGCUGACAUUGGCUCACCUGGUUGUCUUCUGCCAAUAACGGCCGACAUUGCUGCCUCGCCAUCCCGUCCUGCCCAAAUUGCAGUCUGCCGGUGCCCCUGCUAUCCCUGUAAGCUAUUCUUCGGCACCGGUGUGCCAGGCCCCUCCCUUCUCUCCCUAACCCUAUGCCAGGUAGCGGGGAUUUCGCCGCUGCUCAUCUUGGCUCACCGUCACCGCCGUGGCUGUCUCUAGUUUGGUCCGGUCCUGGGCUCGGCGUCGCUGGCUCACGCUCUAUUUCGGUCCGGUCCUGACCUCGGCAUUGCUGGCUCCGACUUCACAGGCAGGCACCAUCGCUUCCAUCUCCCUCCUCUCUCGUGUGAAGUGCCAAGCGUCGCUUUACCAUUUCGCAAUUCAACCAGUGUCACAAACCAGUAGAGUACGAACAGCCUGUACCCUUUGAACUGAAAGAGAGAUGUAAAUAAACCAUUAAACCAGAGUCAGGUCUCCAACUAUGGUUUGUUUCAGCAACUAAAAAUCCGACUUGGCUGGAACAAAUGCGAAAACAAAAGGAAAAACAGCAAGCAAGCUCUGGUCUAUUCUUGGAUGCGUUCACAGAAAUAUCCUGUACAAGAAAUUGUUGAAAGGUUCACUUCAUUGAUUCAGUAAUAUUACUCCGGUUUAAUAAAAACAGCUUCUCCACCGAGGAAACCAGGAACAGAUAGUAACCAGUUAGCUGCCGCCAGUACUUCAAACUCUGGUUUUUCAUAUACACCGCAUUACUAGAGUUCAAUUUGUAGCACAUGGAACUGAUAGAAUUGUCUACAGCCCUGCUAAAAUUGCAACCGGUUUUACAUACACCACACCUCCAGCCCCCUACAGAUGUUCCUAAACAAAUAGCUACAAUGGUACUAGGUACAUCUCAGAUGCGCGCCGAGGAAAUGCUUCCUGCUUUGUUCUGUUCGCCAUCAAGAAGAACUUAUUAUUGUUCAUAUGCCAGCAUUGCCCUCAUCAUAGAGGUCCAUUGUUACGCCUCAGUGAGAGGCAGAGCUGCCUGCUGACUGGUGAAAAAUGAAUUGUUCUCACUUACCCAGUUAUUCCAUAAAUAUUAUAACCAAUCUUUUGGUUCUUCAACUGGAGUUAAUUCACUGCGGAAGCACUCCGAUAGAACCCUGCCGUCACACUACUGGGCCUGCCAUUGGAGUGGCCGAUCUGGAAGCUCCCAGCCCUCCUGGGACGGGGCAUGAAGAGCGUACUGAGCAUCUUUUCCAAACCGUCGACGGUGUACUUCACAUACUUGCUAGCACUUACAUCCUGCUCCACGAGCGGCCCGUAGUUCUGCAUGUAGCUCCGGUAGGCAGGAACUAUUGCCUGUAGCACAAGGUCACAUGCCUCCGCCCUCAAAUCCUUGUCUGGUAUGAUCCAUGCCGAUUGUUCAUGAAACAUCUCACUGAAUCUUGCAUUGAAAGUUUUGAGGCGCUGCUUUACGAGGUCUUUUGCUGUGGCCCGACCCUUGGAGAACAAGAUUAGCCCCUCCCGGUUGAGCAGCGGUGACAGUGGCCCCCAGCUACUCCUCAUAAACAUCUCCAGGUAGUAACCCUUAAACUGUUCACGAUCCCUGAGCCACACAUCACCCAAGAGCUCACCUAGCUUAGUAGCCUUCAAAUGUUUAAAGAAAUGCCAGUGUGUGUUCAUCAUGAAGAUAUACGAUAGAGUAACAUUCCCGUACCCCUUGGACCAAACAUCAAAGUUGGCUUCAAGGGCCUUGACAAUGUUAAGCACUGCGGCAACAAGCAUAUUGUCAUUGAAUACCUCCUUGCGCCAGCUCCGGUGGAUGGUGAGCACCUGUGCAAGCACAGGCCUAUAAUUCUCACUAAGGAGCCGGUUGCAGUACUCAACAACAAAAGAAACCAGGCGCGGCACACCCCCAUCAGCUGGGGGAGGCAUGUGCCGCUGAAGCUCCACCUGCACGAGCAACUCCUCAAAGAUUUCAACGGCACCAUCCACCAACAAUUUCACAAGGUCCCUUGUCUGGCACUGAAUAUCCGCACAGACCUUUCCACCGAACAAUCGGUUAAAGUCCAACCUCAGCUUAUUCAAAGAAUCAAACACCUCCAGCAAACGCAGGAGCUUGAUGGGGUCCUUCUUGACAUCCGCAACUGCACGGCCAAACCUCAAGAAAUCAAGAACACUAGCCUGUGCUGCCACCUCGGCGAAGCACGCUGAUGAAACAUCCUUGUGCUGGCCAAACACCUUGGCGCAGAGCUGCCGCUCAGACUCAAGGAGGCGGCGCACCACAAACUCCAAAUGCUGCCCCCACAACUCGACACCAGGUCCCAAUGCCUGUGCAUCAUCCGCCGGGUUGCGCAAGUAAUCGAGGCCAAGGGCACGAACGCUGGCACUGACCACGCCACCGCGUGCAUCGGCAUACAUGGAAAUGCAGCUGUCUCGCCGGCCAUUGGCCACAAGGCGGUCCAGAAUCAGGCUGAGCUUGCGGACCGCGGUGGCGGGGAUGCGAGACGACGACGAAAUGGAUGCGGAGCUGGUGGCGCCGUGCUGCUGCAUCGCGAGCGGCGCGGAGUGCUCGGCUAGGAGGCGGCGGAACACGCCCUCAAGCAUGUCCAGCGCGGCUGCCAGGAGCCCCCCAUCGAGGUACCCGGACGGUUUCCUGAGCUCAUCCAGAGCGACCCCGACCUCGGCGAGGAACCGCGGGUCGGCGAGGUCGUGGUCACCAAGAUACUCGACGAUGUCGGCGAGCCACUGGGCGGCGAGGCCGCAGUUAUCCGACAGGAACCUCAGCGCCUCCUCGAGCCGGCCGAGCACGGCGAGGUACCCGGGUAGGUCGCCCGCCGGGCCAGGGCCCCCCUCGCCGGCCUCGAGCAGCGAAGGCUCGAGCCCGUGCACGGCGUCGAACACCUUGAGGACCGCGGCGGCGGGGCCGACGGCGCGGUCGAUGUGCGGGCCGGCGGCGACCAGCUCGGCCCGGGGCGCCCGGAUCGGGCGCACGGCGGCCUCCAGCGCCGGCAGCGCCGCCUGGAUCUCCUCGAGCCGGGGCGCCCCGCGCGCCAUCGCCUGCCCCAUCGCGCGCGACCGCUCCACGCCGGCUCGCAGCGAGCGCGCCGCCGCCGCCAGGGGCGAUGCCGCCGCGAGGUCGUCGACGUCCUGAUCCAUCGCCUGUGCUCGGGUGUAUGGAGAGAGAGUGAGAGAGGGAUGGAGAGAAGCCGCCGCUCCCCGGAUGGAGAGCGCAAUGAGGUCUGAUUUUGGAAUCACGGCUUCUUGCUGUGGGCGGAGAGAGAGAGGGGGGGUUUCUUCGGGUUUUUAGGUUGGAAGAGGAGACUCUGGUCGGGGAGAAGAGACUACAGUAGCCCUUUGCUUGUUCGUGUCAUUGUGUUGUGUGUGUGCGCAUAAUGAUUUUGUUUUGUUUUUAGAGGAUCCAGAUUCCAGAAACCCCGGUCGUCAAUGGCAGGGCUGGUUUUCGAUGCAUCAACGCAUGGUAGCUUUAUUUUUCUAGCCGGACUUUUUUGCCACUUCUUAUUACGAAAGAUAACGGAAAUAUAACGUUUCGGACGUAAAAGACGGCAAAAGACAGAGAAAAAAAAAGGAGGGAUAGAGGAGAGCAGCAGGAAAUCUACGCGGCAGAAAACCCACCGAAAAAUAAUAAUCAUAUUUUCAGUAACAAAAAUAACUAUUAAUCACUUUAUUUCUGAAAUCGUAACCUGACUAUUCUCGCUUGCAUUCUGGAUCCACACAUGCCACCUAUCCAUCUUCAUGUCAAAAACUAUUUGUCACCUUCUCUCUUCCUAAUCUCUUCCUAAUCUCAGUAGGGUGGGGGGUGUCAAUGUUAAUCGAGAAAUGAUGAGCGGAUGUAGCAAUUGACUGCUGCGUUCUUUUCGGAUUCCAGAACUAGCUUCUUCUAAAAACUGCCAUCAUAUAGCUUUUUGAAGAAAACCACGUCUCAGAUUUAGAUAGGUUUCCAAAGUAGUUUAGUCCACUAAUUUGAUAGCCUAAUAAAAAUUUAGACAACGGUUUCUAGAGAAAACUGAUGGCGCCUGUCAGUGCUCUCACGCCAUGGGUCGAGACUUGAGACCUUCGGGAGCACCUCAUCUGCGUGUUGUACGCCGAAACGCAUCACAACACAGCCGAGCACGUCAUGGCGUUCACUGAUUCACGUCCACAAACAACCAGCAUCUGCAUUUUGCUCGUGGACAGCAACUUGCCUGGCGCUCAAAAGCUGAAUCUCAAAUCUUCACAUGAAUCAUGACUCGAGUUGAAACACAUAUAUAGAAAAAAAAAAGGAGCGAGACACGAUCGACGGACCGAUCAUUGCUCGCGGAAUCUCGAACGCGAGAUCUGCGAGGGCCCAUGCACGUGCGUCGCCGGCCCCUGCAGGAGAUCGCAGCAGCAACGGGCUUGACUGACGGCAGGGCCCUCAUUUUCAUAUAGCGACAUUCAUCUGUCGCGGAACUGAUGGUUAGGAUUCCGAUCUCGUUUACCAGAUCGACGCCGCCGGCCGUUUAUCACGAUUCCAAAUUCUAGUUCCGACACGGCUCGAGUAAAUUCAACGGAACUACUCCCUCCGUAUAUUAAUUAUAGUGCUACAUAUUAAGUGUAUCUCGACGUUUUUGUAAGUACACAUACAUUCAUAUUUAGACGAAUUUGAGUCACUUAAUAUGUGAUGGAGGGAGUAAUUUUUUUUGAGAAACACAAUACAGACGCGGACGCUCACAAACACCUACGUAAACUCAGACCUAUGAACGCACGCAUGCACACCCUAACCGUAUGAGCACCUUCGAGAGACUGGUCUGACAGAUCAUCUUUAAAUUGACGAAGUCAUCACAUGCGUCUCGUAGUUGACGGGUACAUCACUCUCACUGAAAGCACAACACCGGUUAACCCCUGGAAUAAAUUCAGGAAAUGCGAGCACCCAUGCCAAGUCUGAAACUUGAAUCUGGGUGGGCUGGUUCCACCACGAGAAAUCUACCACCUGAGAUAGGCUCAGUCCGCCGGAACUAAUUAUUUUGUCAUUGCGGUUUCACGAAAGCAUACAUGACAUUAUUUUUCUCACUGAAUCACAAUUCUUCAGACAUGUCUUGUCAAAUACCGUAGCCACCCAAAAUUUCCUUUUGCAAUUUUUUUUUCUAGUUUAGUAGAUUAUUUCCGACAUAUGGGGACCACAUGCAAGUGCCUACGUGGCAAAAAAUACUCGGUCAAAGGCCCGUCCCUACCUGAUCCCUGAACUCGGGAGAGAUCAAGAACGGGCGAGUACAGGUUUGAGUAAAAAGCCUGUUAAGAAUUGAUGUGACACUUGCACGUUGCUCUAUCUGUCGGAAUCGGUGACAAAACACACUUAACCGGUAGAUUGCUUUUUCGAGAAAACAUGAUUCAAAAAUGAUGGUUCUGCGUGAAAAUUAACGUAGUUUCGCGAAUCACUGUCUGGCCAUAAAAUGCAUGGCUUUAUGAGACUUACUUCAUGAUCCUACUCGAAACCGUAUUUUGCCUCGAGAGCUGGGCCGAGCCCAAAGGCCGCAGCCUGCAAUUCAUCCGGCCAACAAAGCUAUGGAUCACUGCAAUUCAUCCGGCCCGGGUCGUGUGUGCUUGCUCCGAUAAACUCUGAAUCACGUCCGUACUACCCCCCGGUUUUCAGGGCCGUCUUUCUUCGAUUGCACGCCAUGGAUGAGCGAGCAAUCAUGCCUGAAAAGAAGAUUUGAGUCCUGUGCGUGCGUGGGUACUGGGCAGAUCUGUAGAUGUAGGCUCCAUGGGUCGGAACAUGCCUUUGCUUACACUUUUGUGCUGUCAAGUUUCUUACGCUACACCUUUUCAUUUUCUACACUGUAAUUCGUUUGCUUGGCUCUGCAAAAAAGAUGGAGAGCGGAUCAAGUGAGAGGGAGCAAAUCAAGGGAAUGGAGACGUAGUCCUAUGCUUGCUGGGGUAAAUUAAAUACUCCCUCCGUUUCAUAAUUCUUGUUUCAAAUCUGCCCAAAAUUAGACGUAUCUAUUCCUAAAAAACGUCUAGAUACAUGUAAUAUUUUGACAAAAAUUAUGAAACGUAGCGAGUACAAUACAUGCACAUACAAAUGUAUUUACUGCCUUUUUUAGAGAAGGCCAUCAUGGCUAGGUUUAUUACUCAUCAAAAUAACAUCAGGAGGAUUAUCCAACCAACUACUAGAGAUAAGUUCAAGAAAAAGAAGGUGAAAUGAUACUGUACCAGAUAACAAUAUUGACCAGUGACGAUGUGAGCAGGCUGGAUAUCCAUCCAUCAAGGCAACGUAUUUGGUGAAAUGGAUGGUACAGAUCAGGCCCGUUGAUUCCCGGAUGGACGGGCCAGAUCGAAGUUCCCUAUCCAGCCACUUGCUGUGUUUUUUAACUCGUGAUUACACAACCCAACCCUCGUGGCUCUCUUGAAUCCUGAUCUUCCCCGUGUGUUGAUUAGAUACACGGUUACGCGUCAUUAACCACCCCCGUACUUGUUUAUAUGCUGCUACGUACAUACCGUGUGUGAGUCUACACUUCAAAAAUAUUCCUGAUCUCGCUGGAUUUGUAUUUAGAUCUUUUUAUCGAUAACUUAGAAAUAAUUAAUUACUCACUACUACCUCUUUCCAUAAUUCUUGUUUUAAAUUUGUCUAAAAAUGUAUUUAUCUAUUUAAAAAACGUCUAGAUGCAUGUAAUAAUUCGACAAGAAUUAUGAAACGGAUGAUCGAGCAGUGAGUAAUUAAUUAUUUUUGAGUCAUGAGAGAAACAACAAAGAUCAUUAAUUGUAAACCUUUGCAAUCGGGCAAAAACAACAGUCAGCCUAGCACGCGUACAUCCAACGACCGGCAAAAUGAGUCUUCCAGCAUCCAAACAAAAAUAAUCAGGGGAUGAAUGAAUGUGACAAGAGCAAAAUGAAUGGCCUCAGAAAAAUAAUCGCAGUAAAUAAAUACGCCACGAGUACAGAAGUCACCGUAUAUAUACGGAGGCAAUAAUAGAAGGCGGUGGGGGCCGCGUUGACCGGGCAAGCGGGGUCUCCGCCACGUCACCCGGCACGACCCGCCGAUCGUUCCCAUCCACUCCUCUUCUUUCCCCUCUCUUCCCUUUCCCCUUUCCUCUCCGCUCUUCCCCUCUCCUCUCCUCUCUCGCUCUCUCUGCCGCGCCCCCCAAUCCCGAUCUCCUCUCCUCCCCCUCUCAUGCAUGAGAGGUCGGCGGGGAUCCCACCAACGCUAGCCGCCGCUGCCUCCGCCGCCGCGCGCUUCUCCUUCCUCUUGCUGUUGCUGCUCGUGGUCGCGGGGCGGUCGUCGUCCGCCUGGUCGUGGUGUCGCGAGGGGGAGGCGGAGGAGGUGAAGGGGUGCUCCCGGAUCAUGGGGUUCGGGGGGGACGGCUCGCCGGCCACCGGUGGCGGGAUCAGGUGACGUUGCUUAUUUAUCUUUUUCCCCUGCCCGCGCGCGUACUGGUUGCUUGAUGUGGUUGGUUCUAGGGAUUUUGUUGAUUCUAAUGGCUCGAAGGCUCGCUGGUUGAUUCGUUCUGGGUCCUCCCGAGGCGAGGCGGGUUGGUCUGUGACUGUGAGGAGGGGGGAGGGAGAGAGAUCCGUGGCUGUUGGCAGGAGCUAGUGCCUCGUUGUAGGGUUACUCCACUGUGAGUAUAGGCAGCGAAUUUGUGUGGCCGCGCAUGAGUCAGAAGAACAGAAGUGGCACGCAGCCUUUGAGUUGGAUCUGUCCGAUUGGGCAGCCUUUUUCGGCGGUGAAUUUGGUUGGCGCACGAUGGUAUGGUUGUGUUUUAGGGACAACAACAAUACUAGGGAUUGUGCCAUGAGAAGUUUUGUCUCUCUGUGUCAGUGUCCCGGUGAAAACCUGCCAUCUGGCCUUCGCUGGCCGGUGACAUACCUACGUCGUCCCCUUGUUGGAAGCAUGGCUUUGGUGCCGUGCGGUGCUCUGGCCUUGAUUGGUUGGACCCGGUUUCCAGGCUAAAAGCCCUGUCCUGACCUUCAUAGGCUGUAUCCGGCAACGUUGGCGUGCAUGUGUUUCUUCCUCUCGAAAGGCGUUGCUUCGGAAACCUAGCUGUCGGUGUUUUUUGUCGUGGUUAUGCCGCUGCUAGCUCAUGUACUCUGCUUGCUAGCUCAUGUACUCUGCUUGUAUGAUGAUGUCUUAGACUGACCUGGCAUCUUAUUUAAUAACAUUAUUAGGCCAGGAGAUCUUGCUUUCCUUUUUGGGAAAUAAAAUGUCGCGCUGUGAGGAUCUACCCCCAAAAAAUCUGGUCUGUCUGGUGUAUUAACGUGUUUCUCGAGCGAAUUCACCACAUUCUUAAACAUGGCUUUGAAUAAACAUAAAGGCCGCACACUGAGCACUAUACUAAGUGAUUCAUAAAAUGAUCAUGUGAGCAAAUGGCAAUCCAUGGCAUGCCUACUACCAUUUCUAUGUGAGAUAGUUUAUUAUGUAAUAAUGCUCCACAAGUUGUUUAUGUGUGCUGGUACUUUGGAACAAAAACAGAUGAAACCGAGGGACAAAAGAUGACGAUACACCAUGCAUACGAUACACUACCUCAAGCUACUCUGUUUUUCAUAUAUUUGAUUACACAAAGUACAUGUGUUUAAAAAGUGUGACACAUUUGAUUUCACAUGAAAAUGUUGUAGAAUGCGUUUCAUCAAUUUAUCAUUUUGGAUAUCUUAACUGAUAAUUUUUCCUUUUGCCAUUGCAGUGAAAAUGGCAGGUUCAGUUAUGGGUUUGCAAGUUGUGCUGGGAAAAGGGCAUCAAUGGAGGAUUUCUAUGAGACAAGAGUCGAUGAUGUUGAUGGAGAGACUGUCGGGUUGUUUGGCGUAUUUGAUGGUAUGAUUUGCCUAGUGAAGAAGCACCUUGCUCAGUUCUUUUUUAUUAGUGAAGCGAGUAACUAUAGCUGGCUUUUCCUAUAGGUCAUGGUGGAGCUCGAGCAGCUGAAUAUGUGAAGAAGCACCUCUUCAGCAAUUUAAUCAAGCAUCCGCAAUUCAUCGCAGAUACAAAGUCUGCUAUUGGUAUGUAUAUCAUGCAUAAACUGUUGUGGACCAAAAUAUUUCUACCCAGGUAGAGGGCGAUCAUGAUUUCCUUCCAUUUCUCUUUUGCAGCUGAAACAUUCACUCAUACAGAUUCAGAGUUUCUGAAAGCUGAUAGUAGCCAUACCAGAGAUGCUGGCUCAACUGCCUCGACAGCUAUUCUCGUCGGCGGUCGCUUGGUGGUGGCGAACGUUGGUGAUUCUAGAGCCGUUGUUUGUAAAGGAGGGAAGGGUAAGUCCAUCGUCUGUAACGCUGUAUUCCUGGACCAUUGAUUCAAUGGAAAGUUCAUCUUGCUGUUUUCUUAGAGAACAUGCAAACAAGUGUUCAUGGUGCUACAUAGGUACCAGAGUUGGACAACAAGUGCUGUGAUCAUAGAUUCAGAGAACAUACAUGCAACUUUUGCAGCGAUUUCGGUUUCUUCAGACGGUCAUGAUGUUUUCUUAAUCCCAUUUUUGCAGCGAUUGCGGUUUCAAGGGAUCACAAACCUGACCAGACAGAUGAGAGGCAGAGAAUUGAGGAAGCUGGAGGCUUUGUGAUGUGGGCUGGUAUUUUCAUGAGGCCUCUGAAACUGUCCACUUCAGUAUGUGCUUAUUUCUAGUAUUACUUCUGUUUAACUAUUGAGUUUUUUCGUAGGUACGUGGCGUGUUGGUGGCGUUCUUGCUGUUUCACGAGCAUUUGGUGAUAAACUUUUGAAGCAGUAUGUUGUUGCUGAUCCAGAGAUCAAGGUUUGGCUAAGUUUUGUUUGCUUGCUUAGUUCUCAGCUAGCACCUCUUCUGCCGAUUUUGGAUUAGAUAUUCUGGGCAGUGGUGGCAGUAAUUAGAAGUUCGGGGAGAUGAUAUUAUAUAGGUGAUGCCCAAAUAAAUCAGGAUAAAUUGUGUUAACAGAAGCAGAUACCAUCAUAAGUACCAGAAAUGUAACUCAAUGUUGAGAUUUCUGAUCUACCAGUUAACUGUAGCUUUUUAUCGAACUUCUUCACUGUUUUCACGCAAGGAAUAAAUGAUGGCACCCAUUCCUAAGAAGAGGAAGCUAAAUGCUACUCCCUCCGAUCCAUAAUUAAACUUGGUGAAUUUAUCAAAUCAACCAUCUUCAUCACUGUCCUUUACUGCUAUUUACAGGAGGAGGUAGUCGACAGCUCACUCGAAUUCCUCAUCCUCGCUAGUGAUGGGCUGUGGGAUGUUGUAACUAAUGAUGUAAGUGCAUAGCCAUAUUUACUGAAGAUUCUCCUUAUGCUGCUAUUAUCCUGUAAUACUCAAUGGGUCAUCCUGAAUUUUCUAUUUACAGGAAGCUGUUGCCAUGGUCAGGCCUAUAGAAGACCCUGAGCAAGCAGCGAAGGGGCUGCUCCAAGAAGCUUCUAAGAGAGGAAGUGCUGAUAACAUCACUGUUGUCAUCGUCCGCUUUUUAGAGGGAACAACAGAGAUUGGAGACGGACCGAGUGAGGAGGUCGCCAAAGACCAAUCUUCAUAGUGGUUAUCGUUCUCCUAUGGUGUUGUAUUUGCUGUUGUAUCUGAUGGUCGAAGUAGAUGAACCAUGGCGGCACCCUGCCAUGCUGCGAAACCAAACUGACUUGGCCUGGAUUUCAUCCUCGUUCCAUGCUUCCCGGCUGUCCUAGAUGGUAAUUGGGGAGCAGAGGGAUGAUGUGGCUAGUGUUGUUACCAUAUGAUCCCAAGGGGUACUUUUUUCCUCCUUACUCAACCUUGUAAUGUGUAGCUUAUGUGCUGGUGUUUCGUGCUACUGAUUUUUUAGCAGU
rnacentral:lncRNA from 1 species